UCAUAGCAAUAACAUCCCUGUGGAUGUUAUCUUCAGUACUGAUCAGGUCUUCCGAUGCUGCUGGAAUUGCCACCUACUGGGGCCAACACACCGACGAAGGAAGCCUGGAAGACGCAUGCCGGAGAAAUACCUACGACUACGUGAAUCUUGCCUUUCUGAUAAAUUAUGGCGGUGGCCAGACACCAGAAUUGAACUUAGCUGGGCAUUGUGAGCCAAGCGAUUGCUCCUCGCUUAGUUCUGAGAUAAAAGCUUGCCAGAGCCGAGGCACCCAAGUGCUUCUUUCUCUCGGUGGAGCUCCAAACCUCUCUUCCGCCGAUGAUGCCAAGGAAGUCGCGUCCUAUCUCUAUAAUAAUUUCCUUGGCGGUAAAUCAGAAAAUCGUCCAUUAGGCGAUGCUGUCUUAGACGGAAUAGACUUUCAUAUCCAAGCUGGAAAGAGGGAUUUCUUGGAUGAUCUCGCCAAGGCGCUCUCAGAAUAUAGCACAUCAGAGAGAAGGGUGCACUUAUCUGCAGCACCACAAUGUUUCUAUCCUGACUAUUAUCUCGACGCUGCUAUCAGAACUGGCCUCUUUGAUUAUGUGUGGGUGCAAUUUUACAACAAUCCGCCUUGUCAGUAUAGUAUGGGCAAUGCCAACAACCUCUUCUACAGUUGGAGUUCUCAUUGGGCUUCAUACCCAGGAGUUAAUAAACUAUUCCUGGGAUUACCUGCAUCCCCUGAAGCCGCUCCUAGUGGCGGUUACAUUCCACCUCGGGUGCUUAUUCGCGAAAUUCUUCCCUAUGUCCGGGGCUAUCCCAACUAUGGAGGCGUCAUGCUUUGGAACGCAUUCUAUGACGAGAAUUACAGUCAGGCAAUCAGGCCUUAUAUUAACCCUGAAACGCUGGCUUGCGAUCGCAAGUCCAUGCUAAAGUCCCCAAGCAAUUGCGACAUAAAGAUAAAGUCUUAUGUGACUAAAUAAGUUCCUCUCGUUGUCAUAUGAGAGAUGAAAAAAUGUAAUCAUGGCUGUCUAAGCCAGAGAUAACGUGAAUAAAUAUAACAUGGGUUAUCAAUCCCCAGAGUUUGAUUGUCAAUUCGUGUUUGUUCUUGAUUAUAAUUUAGCACGAACGAUAUCAUUAGUUCUAGUUUCCUCUUAUUCUUCGGGAAAAAAAGGUAUUAAAGAAGAAAAGAACAUGCAAAAAGUGCCAGAUCAAAGUCAAUAUCAUUAGAGAUAUAUGUUCUCCAAAAUCAAUGUGUUCAUACAAGAACCUUUUAUGUUUCGGCACAUCUCUACUGUUGAGAAUAUUUAUGGUUCUGUUUGCUUCCACUCAAUGUUUAUAUUAUAUGUAAAACUAAACUUCCAUCACUUCCAGACUUUAAUGUGAAUUGACGGAGCAGCACAAUUAUCCUGGAAAGUUAUGAAUAAUGCUUUUUUUUUAAUAAUGAAAACAAUGAUGGCCAAAACUUAAGAUUGGUGUAAAAUUCAGUUUAUAGUUUCACAUUAAAAAUUAUAAGGAUGGUAUGAACGCCACCAGGUACUUAUUAUUGUGUUUUAAACUUGAAAAGCACAUUUUUUUUUAUUUGGUUUUUUAUGACACGAUAACUUGAUGAUCCAAUUAUUCAAGUUGCCAAAGAGGGUGGCUAGAAAUAAAAGUCUAAAAUUGAAGAACUAAGUGCACUUUUGAUAUACUUGAAUUUAUUGUUUAUUAUAUGGAAAUAGUUUUUCAAUUUCAAAUGAUUUUGAUAUUUCGAAUGCUUUGGCAAGUUUAUUUGGACAAAGCUGUAGAAGCAGAAUAAGGGAAAGCCUUGGAAUAUAAUGAUGAUGAUGCUAAAAAUGAAGAUGUUAGUGUUUGAUUUGCAAAAGCAUUGGUAAGAAUAGUACUUAUUAUCUAGCUCUUUGGCCUUAUUAGUUUUUAGAUUUUCCUAAUAGUGUCAUUCUACACUUGUUUUUCUUUUUCAAGAUGAAGAAGAUUCAGCUGGUAGAGAAGUCAAGGAAGAGAUUAUAAUUUGUGUUGGCUUUAUUGUAGUACAAUUUAAUUAUUUUUUGGUAAAAUUUUAAUGUCUUUAUUACCAAGCAAUUAUGGAUUGUAAUCUCUCAAAGAAAAGGAAAAAACAAGAGAGAUUAUAUUAUUGAGAAAUUCUAUUAAUAAAGAUAAAGCUGUAGAAUAUGUAUACAAUGAUAAAUUACAACAAGUUACCAUAUUAUACAUUUCCAAUUUUUCAAAAAAAAAAUUUGAGAACAACACAACUACAAUUUUACUAUUUACAAGAUUUCACGACAAGUACUCACUCCCGCACCUUGCGUGGGUUCACCCCUAGUUUCACAAUAUGAGAAUAAGAAGAAAUAUUUACAGCAAAGUUUAGAGACUCUAGAAUACAGGAAUGGGACAGGUACGAUCGACUACAGGUGCAAUUGACGCAGUUGUUAUACCCUUUUCAUGAUUUGAUUUAUACUUACAUAAUUUCGCUGUAUUUUAUGAUUUGGUGUAUACUCACAUAAUUUUUAUUAUAUUUCAUGAUAAAUAAUAAAGUUAUAUGAGUAUAUAUCAAAUUAUAAAAAAGUACAAUAAUCGUGCCAACCACAACUAAUACCACACCGUACUUGUCCUACUGGAAUACUUAGUUAAUAUUCGAGACUGAGACCAUAGAGCAUUAAUCCUUCUCACAUUGUAUCAAACAGAGGUACUGUUUGACAAUUGAAUUUUUUGGGUGUUUGUCCAAAAUUUUACUAUAAGUUAUCGUAAAAUUUGUAAAAAAAAAACUUGUUUGGAUGGUAAAACUUUCUUCCUUUUUUUUAUCUUUUCUUUUUCCUCUCCUCUUGUUUCUCCCCCACCCAACCAUUGCUCUUCCUCCUCCCCUUCUUCCCACUACUAGCCACCAUUGCCGGUACCUUUGUCGGCAAUCGACAACGGUGCCAGUAGACCUAUUUUUUUCUUACUCUCUUUUCUCCCCUUCUCCCCCCCUCUCCUUCCUCCCUUUCCUCCUUUCUUCUCCUUCUUUCCUCCUUCCUACUCCCUCCCUUUGGGAGAUGGAGGACCGGAAGGGGGAGCGGGAUAGGGAGGGAGGAGGAAGGAGAUAGAGGAGAUGAGGAGAGGAAGGAAGAAGGAAGUAGAAGAGGGGAAGAGGAGAGAAGGAGGGGAAAAAAGGGAUGAGGUUGCCAAAGGCGCCGCCAAAGUGCCAACUAGCAGUAGUGGUGAUGGUGGGUUGAGACGUGGGAAGGAGGAAGAAGAAGAAGAAGAAGAAAAGAAAGAAGGAAAAAAUUUUUUUGUGUGUUUUUAGAUAUUUUCAAGUGUGUAUGUUGAAAAGUUCUUGAAGAGUUUUUUUUCAUUUUAUUGUAGUUAAAACUGUUAAAAAAACUUACAAAUGAAAAACUUAACAAAAAACUCGCUAAAUAGGACUAGAGUUUUGAUGGGCUAUGAUGACACAACGGAGGCAGCUCCUCCAUCCAGCCUAAGGAUAACAACAGAUGCAGCUCCUCCAUCCAGCCUAGGGAUAUCUGUAAUCUAAAGAAAGCUCCAGAACAGAGAGGUGGAACCAGAAAUAGUUUCUACUAGGCGCACAAACUGCUCCUAUUGGUUAAUUAGAUUGAGUUACAACUUAGAUCAAUGGCCUAAACCUUAACCACUACAAUCACCGACGCAUUUUUCUUUUCUUUUGCUCCAAAAAAAAGCUUAAAGUUAUAGUAAAAAUUAUUGGUAACAAAUGAAAAUCUAAAUUUAGCUCUAAAGUAGGCUAUAUUAUAGUAAUUGAUCCUCUCCUUAAUUUCACUCUUCCAGUAACUUUGAUAUAUCAUAAAUGAUCAUCCAUUAUUAUAGAUCUUGCUUUCUCCUUUCAAAAAUUUUUAAUUUGGAGCAAACUAUUUGAUUUUUAGUCAAGUUCCUACGUUGCACAACUCUACAUUGUGGAAUCUGUGAUUCGUAGUAUCUUGCCAAAUCUUCUUAAUUUGUUUAGUAUCUUGCACAAUCCAGCUUGGAAAGUUGGACUAGUUUGGGAAGUAAAAGAAAUGGAGUGUUGCUCCUAAUUUUUGGCCAUGAGGAAGAGAUCAACAAUUUGUUCAAUAUUUCUUCUUUUAACAUUAAAAGGAAAUGAAGGAGUGCAACAUAAAAUCUCAUAAAAUUUAGAAUCCUGUGUUUUGAUUGCACCCAAAAAAAGAAGAUGAGGUGGAAUUGUGAACACGAUAGAGACUUAGUAGAAUUAAUCAAAAGAAUUUAUUCUGGGAAUUAAUCAAAAGAAACCAUAAAAUAUUAUAGAAUUCAAUGGCCUAGACAGCAUUUGAUAAAACUGAAAAUUGAUUUCUGAAAUAUAAAGACUGAAAACUAAUUCCUAAGUUCUUAAUUUGCUUAUAUCCAUGAAGUCACAUCUAUUUGAUAAUCAAUUUAAUGCAAGCAUUGAAUUGAAAUAUUUAUUCCAUAUGUAUUUUGUAGUUUUUUUUUUCAACCAAACGUUGUACCAUUAUUCAAGCUGCCCAAGAAUACAAUGCUGGGAGGAAGGCCGCACCCUUACCUCCGAAACGAGAAACGAAAAUUACAAAAAUUCUGCUUAUCCAGUGCCAGUAACCCUCUAGUACGACACAGUAAUUGAGAAGCCCAAUGUAUUUUGUAGUUUAAUCCUAAAUGUGAAAGGUGUGUUUUAUGUUAGAUUAAUUUUUAAAUAUUAUUUUUUUGAUAAAUGUUUGUUUGAAAGAAGAAAAGCAUAGAUUCUACAUGUUUGAAGGGGAGAUUGUAUUUAGAUGUAUUAUAUAGAAGAAAAAAAAUAUAUAUAUAUAUAUUCUAGCGAGAGAGAACGUGUGUGGAUGUGUGAAAAUGUGAUCGAAAGAGAGUGUGUGUAUACUGUGUGAAAGUGUAUUGGUGAGCGCAAUGAUUCUUUUGAGUGAAUAUGAUUAAUACAUAUACUAGUUCAACAAAUUAAGUGAUACAACUUUCGUGUAAAUUUUUGUAUGUAAAUCAAAUGUGUCAUAAAUAUAAGCAAAUUUUAUUAUCAAACAAAUGUAGCAGGAAAGAAGUACUUAAUACAAUAACUUUGCGUACUUAAUGAGGUUAUCAAAUAUCUCCUUAACUCUAGAAAAAUAGUCUAUUAACAAAUUUGUGUUGAACUUAUUAAAUUGAACCAUGAAAUUUUUCCCAAGACCUCCAUUUAAUAGUGGGAUUUGUGUUGCAACAUGGUGAGGAUAUUGGACAGGUAACUAUGAGGUCGUAGUCAAACUUUCAAGAGAGAAGGAAAUGGUAAAAGAGCUCUUUACUUGGCUUUAAAUGCUGUAUCUUUAACGGGUAGGGUUUUUUUGGGAAGGGUUCCAAAAACAAUCAACGAAGGCUAGUGGCAAAUCAGCACGGAAAGAAGAUAAACCGAGAUUUCGGCGGCAGCUGGCAUACUUUCUUUCCUGAUUGCGAAACACCAUGUCGAAGCUAGGGUAUUUUAUCCAACCAGCCUAGAUUAGAAUUUCAAGACGUACGGCUUCUUCGAGUAAAGAAAGUUCAGCCACGAACACUCCUUUCACGACCUAUUCAGAACUAAGUACACCUUAGAACAGAAGUGCUCGUUAACUAGAUUCCCUUCUUAUUUCAAAAUCAAUACUGAUGGGUCCUCGAUCCAUGGGGAACUCGGGUCCAGCUGGAUCAGGUGACUUGAAUAGAAAUCACCUAGGACACUAGGUAGCGGCCUUUAGCAAAAAAUUAGGACCCAUUACCAAUAUCCUUGCUCAGUUGUGGGGGACAAGAGAUGGGGUAUCCUUAGCUUCCUCUCUCACUUGCAAAAUAUUGAAUUAGAAGUUAAUGCUAAAACUGCUCUAGAUUUGAUUAAAUCUGUUGAUACCUCAACUCAUGAGUAUGAUUCAAUUAUUUCUAAUUGGCAGGUUCCUGAUCUCUGUUCUGUCGAAAGUUAUACUUAGAUAUACUUAUCGAAAGUUAAUCAGUAUGAAGAUAGAUUAACGAAAUUAGGUGCUCAGCAAGACACGAUUUUUGUAUGUUAUGAAAGUGUCCCUCCUAAUUUAAAAAUCUAGUAGAUGCAGAUAUUAAGGGAAUUUGUCACUUUGUGCCUAUAACUUAAUAGUCCCUUUGUUACAAACAAAAAAAAAAAAAGAAAGAAAGAAAGAAAGAAGGUUCAGCGACUGGCAUUUGUUCAAUAUGAAUCAUAUUACAAAAAAGGGGUUCAUGAAACAUGCAACACCACACUGCAGAAGUGGUAGGCGCCGCAUCUAUCGAUGAUGAUUGAGACCAAACUUGAUGAGAAGAUUCUAAAACAGGUGUCUCAAGAAAGCUGUAAUAGAAAAACAUGUCAACGUAAUCAGGAUUUCCAUCGUAGAAUUUAGCAAACCGCAUAUACCCUAGAUCCUGAAAUCCUUGGUGCAACUGACUCAUCAUUAACAGAGCUAUGUUUGAAAAGAUGUCAGUUUCUGCAAGAGCAUGAACCUCAAAAGAAUUUGAAGAAAUUGUCACUGGUGGAGAUAGGUAUCAAGGAUGAAUUUUGCAGUUAACUUGGUGCAAAAGUACAGGAAUCUCGUGACUCUGAAAACAAGAAUCAGGACGGGUUUGAAACUAUCAAUUUGAAAAGAGAAAACACAUUCAAGAGGCAAUAUUUUAAGUUGUUUAACGAAUAAAAAUGUUGAAAAGUAUAUUAAUAGAAACUUGUAAAAAUGAAAACUUACAUGAACGCAACUGUGGCCUAUACAUUUUUUUGCCUGUGACAACAUUUUUCCUUCUUUAUAUUUUUUUAACUUUAGUGCUGUCAAUUCAAUUUAAAGUAUCUUUCAUUUCAGCAUACCUGUCCAUUGAUAGUCUCAUACUUUAUGAAUUACUUUGUUUUUUUUUGAGCACUUCAUGAAAAACUUUGUCAUGUUAUGACCCAAUAAUUUGUCCAUAACCUGUGAUCGACUUUUUUCUGAGCACUUGAUGAAAAACUUUGUCGUGUAUUGUUCUAACAAUGUGUUUUCUAACAAUUUUGUCCAUAACCUUUGACUCAAUUUACUCGCAACCUAAUGAAUACACAAGCACCCUACUCCCGCACAAUUGGACGGGCUUAAUUCUCUAGUCUUUUUUUUUUUUUUUCUCUUUUGAUAAAAACAUCAUCAUUUUGUUGAAUCUGUAGUAGUGGGAGAAAUUACAUCAAUGAUAUAUAGAUAUAGAUUUGAAGAACAAAUGCUAGAUGUUGUAGAUCUGAAUAAUCAAAAGCGUCUUUAUUGUGGAACUCAAAAAACAUCAAAUGAUAUCUGCGCAUACUUCCACCGAUACCAUUUACUUUCUCCUAAAUAUGCUCAUGAACUGAUUCAAGCCUGGAUGCUUAGAUGAGAUCUGAAGAGAUAGAUUUAAGAAAUCUCAAAUCUGGCAACUAAGUCUUAAAAAAAAUUAGAUCUAACACUAGAAAUAGAAAAACUACAAAAAGUCCACUAAGAAUCCACAAAAUCACCAACAUCAUCUUUACUGCAGCCAUCGUCGACCAUUCGAUCUUCAAUUUUACUUCCCUUCGAUCAACUUUUUUUCAUCAGAUUUCAUCAUAUCAUCAACCUUAUUUCAUCAAAUUUAAAUUUCACAAUCCUAAAAAGGAUAAACCAAAACAUCAAAAAGAGCCCAAUCUUGCAAAAUUUUAACCUUGCACACCACUGAAUUAAGCCCUCUUUUGCAAAAUUUCUUUUUCAUAAAAAUUUGUGAGAAUUAAUGUGUGCAACCUAUGAAUGUUUGGAUUUUUUUAGAUUAUUAGUCUUCUUGAAUUUGUCCCCUCCUUAAUUUAUUUAGUCAUUUGUAUGCAAUUUUGUAAUCAUAUAUUCUUUUUACGUGAGGAAGACUGAUUUUGGAUGAAUUUUCUAUUGACUCAAUAUCAAAUUUGCCAUAGCAUGUUGGAAAAAUGCCUAAACUAAAUUCAUGGUUGUUCAUUGUUUCUUUCUUCUUCUCUUUUUGUUUUUUUUUGGUGUAGCUAGAUAUUGAAAGGGUUGAAGAAAGGGGAAGGAAAAUUUAGUAUUGAAUUUGAGUCUUUGCACUUGCAAUUAAUUUGUAGGUGUUCUUGGUUUCUUACAGUUGAUGACGGAUUAUUACUGACGAGUUCCAUGUGAACUAUCUUCAAUUACAAAUAGAAAUAAACCGGAAAUAUUUCUUAGAAUGGUACCCUAAGAUAAUGAUUAUGAAAUCAAUAAUCAUCGCAAGUGGAUUGUCAUAAUUAAAUAUGUAAAGAUAUAUAAUACUGCAGCCGGUUUGUUUGUGAUGGCUAAUCUUUUCCUAUGUGCUCCAUUUAGUGAAACUUCAUCUAUCUUGAUCACGUGAACCACGUACAAUCAUAUGUACAACCAGUUAAUUUAUUUGGGUCCUUGCAAGUAAAUUUUCAAUUCAGAUUUAUUGUUUGCUUCGGGAUAGAUUUAACUUACCAAAAAAGAAAAAGUAAAUUUCAGCAGCAAAGCCUUCAAGUAAUUUUGAAGUGGGAAAAUCAUUUAAAAGUCCCUCACAUUUCACUAAAUAAAAAUUUUUUUAUCCUUCACUUUAAAAUAAUAACUUUACGUUUCUUAUAAAAUCAAGUCAGUAAAAUUUAGUUCAACUUAAGUUUUUUACUACUUUUUACCCUGAAUUCAUCACAUAAUCCAAAUAUGGUCAUUUUUUUGGGACAAAAAGGUUAAAUCUCAUUUGUAGUCAAACAAAUGAUUUGAUCCAUAACUAUUUUGACACUAAAGAGUAGGAUCUGAUCUAAAUCAUAUUUAUUUUUCUCUUGAAAAGUGGGAUCUAAUUUAAUUCAUAUUCAUUUUUAUCCUAAAAAAGUGAAAUUUGACUUUUUUGUAUAUAAAAUAAUUUCAUGGGAGUCACAUGGUGAUUUCAAGUUAAAAAGUGGUAAAAAAAAACUUAGAUUCGAACCAAAUUUUGUUAACUUGAAUUUAUAAGGAACCUAAAACUAAUAUUUUAAAAGAAAAACGAAAAAAUUCAUUUGACAAAAUAUACGAGACAUUUUGAAAGAUUUUCCCUUCUGAAGUUGUCUUUUGAAUAUUACCUAUCCUUUGAUUUCCUAUUGUACUCCCUUUCAGUGAUUUAUUGGGAGCUCCUCUUUGGAAAUGUUCCUCACAAUGGGAUCUCAACGUUAUUUGAAAACAUGAAAAUUGCAAAGACAAGUUGGUCAUAAGCCGAUGACAUUAGCCUUAUUUGGAUUACAAGUUUUCACAGAAAAAUUUUAAAAUAUUUCUUGACAUAUUUUUUAAUCACAUUUUUAUCUUAUAUAUGUCAUAUUUAUUAUUAUAAUAUUUUUUUUUUAUAAAAUGCUAUAAACUUAUAUACAUCCUAUUAUCUUAUGUAUGUCAUAUUACUAUAGUAUAUUUUCAACGAGACUGUGAACUUACAAUUCAAACUGUAACUUUCAUUUUAGUGCGUCCCUUCUAAGUGAUUUUAGUGCGUUCACUUCAAUUCAUGCACGUGAAGGGGAAGGACUGGUCCAGAAUUCUGUAGAAGGACAAUAAUUUGGGUAAGGACUGGAAAAUUCAAUUGAAACAAGACAAGAAUGUCGCAUUCGAAGUGCGAUAAUUUUGGUGUCAAUCAACGUCACUAUUAAAAGAAGAUAAGAUUGUUGAUAAAUCCAUACAUCAAAUCCGUAUCCAAUAUCUUUACUCGAAAAUUGUGCUCCCGCAAGAAAGUACAAGUAAACUCUUAUAUUCAUCAAAUAUGAUGUGGCCGACAGAAAAGUUCAGGCUAAGAUGCUCUUAUACUUGAGUGAAGGGAGAAGGUUGAUUUAAAUUAUUACUGUCAAAGAAAUUCAUUUAACUAAAUUUAUCUAUAUUCGCUCAUAAAUAAAUGAGUAUGUGUAUAUUAAAUUUUUACAUAUGGAUAUAAAUGAAUAUUAUUAGAUAACCCAUCAAACUUAAUUAAUCCAUUUAAAAUUGUCUUCUCCCAAACUUUCUCUCUUCCUCCACCCUUUUUUUAAAUUUUUUUUUCAUUUUGUCAUGAUGUUAACUACUUUUGUUUCAUUAUUAUUAUUAUUAUUUGUUAGUUUUAUCUUAUCAUUUUAUUUUCUUUUAAUUUAUUAACUUGCUCAUUUUUCAAUAUUACCAAUUUAUGACAAGUUUUAAAUUCUUUUCUUAUUUUUCCAAAAUAAAAUUUUAAAUUUACACACAAAAAAAUGCUAGGGUUCAAAACUUUUGGAUUAAUUUUUUAUGUUAACUUUUAUAAUAUUUAGUUCAAAUUUUUAUAUUCUUAUUGUUUAAUUAUGAAAUAGUAUGUAAUUUUGCGACAUAGAGUACGGAUGGGAAAAAAAUUGAUAAUUAGGCUUAUUGAACAUUAUAAGUAAAUAUUUAAAACUAAUGAUGGGUGCAAAGAAUGGUAUAAAUUGAUAACUUAGUUUGCAAAAAUGAAUUUACAAAAAGUUAAAAAUAAAUGGGUUAUAAAUGGGUAAUUGGGUUACCCAAUUUAUUUUUUGACUUAUCCAUUUAUAUCCAUCUAAUUAAAUGGGUAUAAAUAAGUUGACUCACUUAUAUCCAUUACCCAUUUUACCCAAUCCAAACGCCCAAAUCAUCCAUUUUGACACCUCUAAUUUAAACCUAUUCAUCAUCAAUUUUGAUUUACAUAUUCUAAUAUGUUGCCACAAAAAAAUCAGGGACAGGGAAAAUUAUUUUAAAAUAUAUAAAAAUAUGUGAAAAGAGAAAGAGAAUAAAUAUACAAUAUAACUGAAAUAAUUUUAUAAACUAAACUCAACAAUAAGACUCACAAACAACAAUUUUAGAAGCUUUCUCUCAUUAUCCACAACUUAACUCUCUCUUCAAGAAAACAAUGAAAUGGUACUACUCAAUUUAUAGAGUAUCCAACGGACUCUAGUCACAAAGGAAUAGGACAAUGGACAAAUAUAUAUAUAUAUAUAUAUAUUGCAAUUCUGAACCGACGACAGUAUUCCUCUCCAAAAUGAUAAAUGUAACUUGCUAAGCUUUAAUGACCAGACACAUCAACUUCUAAAUUCUUCAACUCACUAGACCAAGAAAAAGAAGUUGCCACAUAACUAAUUUAUUCUAAUAAUUAGUCUUGGUUUAAUUAUCUACACAACCAUUGGUCAUCUUUCUUGGGCAAUUACAUAAUCAAUCCAACCUUGCUACUUGUCAGCCUUGAAGGACAGCGCUUGGAAAUUAAUUAACAGCUUAUCAUAUGCGCUACAAAAUGCAGAAGUUUAAUCUAUAGAUUUAUCUGUAGACCUUGUAAUCAAUUGGUGAGUCACAUUGAUUAAGUGAUGUAUGUUUACUUUUUCGUCCCAUUUAUUUAGUCAUGUUUGACAAAUCUAGCUUUUAAAAAUAGUGAUUUGAUUGUGAUGUUUGUACUUUUUUUUCAAUUUUACUCUCACAAAUUUAAAUUUUAAAUUUGAAUGGUAACAUGAAUAUAAUUAAAAAGAAAGGCUAUAUUUAAAAGGGAGAUUAAAAGGUACUUUGAUUUUUUUUACAUGAUAUUUUUGGAAUAUUCUAAAAUGAAAAAUACAGCAAUUUUAAUGAGACGGAAGAAGUAUAUUAUUAGUAUUAGAUUAUAAAAAAAAUUGAUGUGACUAUAGAGUCCAAAAAUAUCUUUCAAACCCAUUCAGGCUAGGUAAGGAUACGCCAAGAACGAAAUACGGGAAGAUAACAGGUGCAUGGUUGGGACUUGGGAGGAUGAGUAGAAAGGAUGUACUCCUGUUUUUAUUUGUCCAUUCUGUAUCGACGUGGAGACUUGGAGCCGCGAGUUUAGAAAUUAGUGACUUUCAUAGCUAAGGACAGGUUAGGUCAGUACAAUAAUUGCCCCAUCCAUUAUUGCGCAUUAAAAGGGACCCAUUUCUCAUUAUCGGACUCGGAUGUUUGCCUUUAAGUUGCUGGGCACUUAUCUUAAAGGAAUAUUCUUUUUACCUUUUACUGCGUUACAUGCCAAACGAUAGCUAUUAUUAUUAGAACUGCAUAGUUUGUGGGGAUAAUUGCAGAAACCUCCCCUGAGGUUUCUGACAUUUUCACUGACCUCCCCUAUGGUUUGAAAAAUUACACUGACCUCCCCUGAGGUUACUAAUCCUUUGCAAAUUUAGUCCAAACGAUUAAAAUAUUAUUAUUUUAGGGAGUGAAAUUAGAAUUUUGUACUAGAUUUGCCCUUUGUACUACAUGUCCAAUGAAUGACAAAGUAUUAUAAAUCAAUUAACAAUUAAUAAACUUUAAGGAGUAUAACUUAUGGGCAAACACGCAUUACUCAUUUAAAGUACCGGCUCUUUACGGGUAUUUUACUUUCAAACAUUUAAUUUAUGAUAAAUAUAUCAAUAUUUAUACGUAAAAUUCAAAAAGUGUUACAGUAAUAUUCUUGCAAAAAGGAAAUUGGUAGGUUAUUGAUUUAAUAUAAAUUAAAUAUUUUUUUUUAAAAAAGAAAUGGCCCAUAAAGUAUUAAUUCUUUAUGACUUUCAUACAUUACAUAAGUAAAGUAUUCGCUCUUUAUGUGCAUUUUAUUCUGAAUCAUUUAAUUUAUGUUAAAUACAUAAAUGUUUGUAACUAAAAUUGAAAAAGUGUUAUAUUAAUAUUUUUACAGAAAAGAGAUUGGUAGGUUUUGUAUUUAACAAAAAUUAAAUAUUUGAAAGUAAAUACAAAUCUGUAUUUGAGCGUAAAUAUUUGUAUUAAAUUAAAUGUUUGAAAGUAAAAUACCCGUAAAGAGCCGGUACUUUAAAUAGUUACCGGCUCUUUAUGGGCAAACACGCAUUAUUUAUUUAAAGUGCCGGCUCUUUACGGAUAUUUUACUUUCAAAUAUUUAAUUUAUAAUAAAUAUAUCAAUGUUUGUAAGUAAAAUUUAAAAAGUGUUACAGUAAUAUUCUUGCAAAAAGGAAAUCAGUAGGUUAUUUAUUUAGUAUAAAUUAAAUAUUUUUUUCAAAAAAAGAAAUGAUUCAUAAAGUAUUAAUUCUUUAUGGCUUUCAUCCAUUACAUGAGUAAAAUAUUGGCUCUUUAUGGGUAUUUUAUUCUGAAUCAUUUAAUUUAUGUUAAAUACAUAAAUAUUUGUAACUAAAAUUGAAAAAGUGUUAUAUUAAUAUUUUUACGGAAGAGAGAUUGGUAGUUUUUGUAUUUAACAAAAAUUAAAUAUUUGAAAGUAAAUACAAAUCUGUAUUUGAGCGUAAAUAUUUGUAUUAAAUUAAAUAUUUUAAAGUAAAAUACCCGUAAAGAGCCGGUACUUUAAAUAGAUAAUGCUUAUUUGCCUAUAAACUAUACUCCUUAAAGUUUAUUAAUUGUUAAUUGAUUUGUAGUAUUUUGUCAUUCAUUGGACAUGUAGUACAAAGGACAAAUUUGGUACAAAAUUUUAAUUUCACUCCUUAAAACAAUAUUUUAAUCGUUUGGACUGAAUUUGCAAAUGAUUAGUAACCUCAGGGGAGGUCAGUGUAAUUUUUCAAACUACAGGGGAGGUCAGUGCAAAUGUCAGAAACCUCAAGGGAGGUUUCUGCAAUUAUCCCUAGUUUGUGUGAAGAGUGAGAGUCAGAGUAUUAUUCGCGCCUUGAGGUGUUGUGUUUCACGUUUCUAUGUUACACGAAUUUUAUGACUCAUCAGAGAGACAUUCUAUCCUGUUCGGAAAAAAAACAAAAAAAAAGAGAGACAUUCUAAAAUUUGGAUUUUUAUUCAUUAUUGCAUCGGAGUCAGAACCUUGUGAUAAGGGGUGCAAUGGUCAACUUCAGUAUAAAUCAUACUCUUAGAUUUAUAUAAUAAAUAUACGAGUAAAUCUUAUAUACACUGACAGUGUAUACACUAUCACCAUUGGAUUUAUGAUAUAUGUGUAAAAGUUGAAUUUUAAAUUCAAAACUUAUAUAUUUGUCAUUUAUUCAUCGUUGAUAAUGUAUACACUGUCAGUAUAGAAAAGAUUAAUCCUAAAUAUACAGUAUGCUUUUGAUUUAAAAAGUGAAAUCUUUUUUUCCCAUUAAUGUUUAAUUUGAAAUAAAUCCUAAAUUUUUUUUAGAGGUAAUCAAUAGAAAGUAUUUUUUGGAGUCAAUGUAGAAUAAGUGAGGAAUAUAUAAAGCUUCAAAAGAUAACCUAUAUAAAGAAGGGAAUUUUCUUAAAUUUGACGGGAGCAAUACAACUGAAAGAGAGAAUUUUAUAAAAUUCAAGGGUGCAACACAUGGUAUAAACUUAAUAAUCUUGAAAAAUUUGAAGGCCAUUGUACAAUUUUAUCAAAAUUGAGGGGGCCGGGGAGGGAGGGAGGGCAAUUGUCCACUCCACAAUCCUAUGUGGCUCUGCCACUGGAAUACUUAUCAAUCGAAUAGAUAGUAUGAUAGACCGCCAGCCUUUGGCCAGUGGCCACCACCUAGCUUGGUGGGGUGGGAGGCAAGGCAAAAUGCCACAUUUAAGUGGUUUGCUUCAAAAAAUUCAGACGGGUGUGUUGUGCACCCGUUUGAUUCGGUGGUGGUUCAGUCCCCUUCGGGUUAUUCUUGGGCCUCCUUAGGUCCGCCCCCUCCCCCUUAGUGUAGAAUAGAUUAGGUUAUACAACAGUUGUCGUUUCCGAAAAAAAAAAAAAAAAUAGAUAGUAUGAUAAGAUUUUAACAGCAAAAAUUGUUAAAAAAAAGGGAUUCUUUGCCGUACUAUUCGACCCAUAAUCCGAGGGGGUAAGGUGGGAUCAACUCCAUGGCACAGAGAGGCAAAGUGCCAUUCAUCGCCUAAUAGAUAAAUCCUUCUCUCAGUUAAAAGCCACAUUGGUUUGCAUCUAUCAAUUUGAAAAAAAAAAAACUAAUUUAAGAGGCAAUAUUUUAAGUUAUUUAAGGAAUAAAAAUGUUGAAAAAGCAUAUUAAUAGAAAACUUGUCAAAAUGGAAACUUACAUGAACUCAACUUUGGUCUACAAUAUUUUUUUUUGUUUUUACAAUUCUUUUCUUAAUAUUCUUUUUAACUUUAGUGCUGUCAAUUUACUUCAUGGCCCAAAGGCAAAAAAAAAAACAAAGACUAGUGAUUGACACACGAACAAUCUUUAAUGCAAAUUUCAAACUCAUUAAGAAAUGAGAGUGUGAAAUUAUCAGAUUGGAUUUCAGUGAAAUGGGGAUUUUAAACAUUCAACGCGAAGCAUCUAAGCUGGAUCGCGGGCUGGAUGACAUUGAAAUUGUGGUGAAGAUAAGUUUUCAAAGUCUCUUUCAUUUCAGCAUACUUUAUGAAUAAACUUUUUUCUUGAGCACUUUAUGAAAAGAAUAUUUUACUCAGUUUACUCACUAACUAAUGAUUACACAAGCACUCAACUUCCGCACAUUUGCACGGGCUUAAUCUUGUAUUAUUAUUAUUUUUUUUAUAAUAAUAAUAAUAAUAUUAUUAUUUACUUCUUCCCGAAUGUGCUAAUGAGCUGGUUUAAACCUAAAUGGUAAGGUGAAAUCUGAGGUGAUAGAUUUAAAAAUUUUCAAAUUUGGCAAUCAAAUUUGAAAAACGAAAAAAAAGAUCUAACACAAGAAAUAGAAAACUACAAAAAGUCUCACUAGAAAUCCCGCAAAAUCACCAUCGUCAUCUUUACAGCAGCCAUCGUCAACCAUUCGAUCUUCAAAUUUACUGUCUUUGGAACAAAUUUUUUUCAUUAGAUUUCAUCAUAGAGCCCAAUCUUGCAGUUCACUGUGCCAGCACUGAAGUAAGCCCUCUUUUCCAAAUUUUUUUUUUGUAACUUGAAAUUUGUGUGAAUUAAUAUGCGCAUCCUAUGGAUGUUUGGAUCUUUCAUUUUAUUAGUCUCCUUGAAUUUGUUGUCCCUUUGGUCAUUCGUAUGCAAUUUUUUAAUCACAUAUUCUGUUUACCUGAGGAAGUCUGAAUUGUGAUGAAUUUUGUAUUGAUUCAACAUCAAAUUUGAUUAAAGGAAAAAGGAAACUGGCCUACGAUCAUAGCAUGUAAGCAUGAUGGAAAAAUGCCUAAACAAAAUACAUUGUUGUUCACUGUUUUGUUUUCUUUGGUGUAAUUGGAUAUUGAAAGGGUUGAAGAAAGGGGAAGGAAAAUUUAGGAUUGAAUUGGGGUGUUUGCACUUGCAAUUGAUCUGUAGGUGCUUUUGUUUUCUUACAGUUGAUCAUGACGGAUUAAUUUUUUUUUUGGUAUUAACCACAGGUGUCCGCAUCCGUUUUACGGUCUACGACUAAUUCUGUUCUAGUCACGUUGGACCCUUUGUAGGGGGAAUCUCUCCCAACGUUGUUUUUUCCAUCCUCAUAGAUUUCGAACCCGAGACCUCAUGGUUAAGGGAUGCAAGCCCCUUCCACUUACACCAACAUUCGUUGGUGACGGAUUAUUACUGACGAGUUCCAUGGGAAUUAUCUUCAGUUACAAAUAGAAAUAAACGGGAAGUGCUUCAUAGGAUGGUAUCUUGAGACAGUGAUUGGGAAAUCAGUAACCAUCGCAAGUGGAUUGUCAAAAUUAAAGAUGUAAAAGACAUAUACGACUGCAGCUGGAUUGUGAUGGCUAAUCUUAUCCUAUGUAGUGAAACUUCUUGAUCUCGCGAAACAUGUACAAUCAUAUGUACAACCAGUUAAUUUAUUUGGGUCCUUGCAAGUAAAUUUUCACUUCAGAUUUAUUGUAGUGAUUGUAACAUAUAUUUUGUGGCUUUGGAACAGAUUUAACUUACCCAAAAAAAAAAAAAAAUUAAAUCUCCACUGCAAAGCCUUAGAGUAAUUUUGAAGUUCAGUCUAUUGAACACUGCCUAUCCUUUGCUUUCCUAUUGUACUCCUUUUGAGUGAUUUAUUUAGAGCUUCUAUUUGGAAAUGUUCAAACCUGACAAUAAGCUCUCAGUGUUAUUUCCAUGAAAACUGCAAAGAGAAGUUGAUCAUGCAAAAAACUACUGUAGCUGACAAGAUUGGCGUUAUUUGGAUUGUCGGUUUUCACUUAAAAAUUUUGAAAUAUUUUUUCAAUAUAUUUUUCAAUCACUUUUUUAUCUCACAUAUAUCAUAUUAUUAUAAUAUAUAUAUUUUUUAACGAAACUCUAUAAACUUACAAUUCAAACUGUAACUUUUCAUUGUAGUGCGUCCUUCAAAGUGACUUUCGUUUUAGUCCGUCCAUUUUAAGUGAUUUUAGUGCGUCCACCUCAAUUCAUGCACAGGAAGGACUGGUCCCAGAAUUCUGUAGCAGGACAAUGAUUUAGGGUGGCCUGGAAAAUUCUAUGGAAACAAGGCAAGAAUGUCACCUUUGGGGUGUCCAAUAAUAAUGUUAGUGUCAAUCAACCUCACUAUUAAAAGAAGAAAAGAUUGUUGAUAAAUCCAUACAUCAAAUCCGUAUUCAAUAUCUUUACUCGAAAGUUGUGCUCCCAAGAAAGUACGAGUAAACUCUUAUUCAUCAAUUUGCAUAAACAAUAGGGUUAAUCACAUUUUAUCCCCUUAAAGAAUGCCCAAAUUUUCAAUUUACCCCCUAACCUUUAAUUUUGCUCACUUAACUCCCUUUAGGACAAAAUUGCCCUUGUAUUAUUUUGACUUUUCAUUUACCUUAUUUUCCUUUCUUUUAUUUCUUUCUCUCUUUCUUCUUUAUUUAAUUCUUCUUCUUUCCCACAAAAAUCUUCACCUUAAUGAUUGAAAUUAAAAAAGAGGAAUUGCAGAUAUCUAUCUUCUCCUUAAAUGAUUAAAAAAAUAUUCAAAUCACUUUCCUAAAAUAUAAUUUUUUUAGCCUUUCAAUUCUUUUACUUUUGGGUUUUCCUCUUUCCUUUCUAGUUUCUCAUUUUAUUCCCAAGAAAAUAUCUUAAGAUGAAAUUGUGAUCUGAUUAAUAAACAUGAAUGAAGGGAGAAGGUUGAUUGAGGCCCUAUUCAUCCUCAAAUUUGAUUACAUAUUCCAAUCUAUUGCCACAAAAAAAAAAAAAUCAUGCUCAGCAAAAAUUAUUUUAAAAUAUAGGAAUAUAUGUGAAAUAUAACUUAAUCGUUUUAUUAACUAAACUCAACAAUAAUGCUUACAAAUAACAAGUUUAGAAGUUUUCUCUCAAUGUCCACAACUUACCUCUCUCUUCAAGAAAACAAUGAAACGGUAUAGAGUAUCCAACCGACUCUAGUCUCAAAGGAAUAGGAAACUAACAAUUGGCAGAAAAAUUUUUAAUUCUGAACCGACUAGGAGUAUCUCUCUCCCAACAUGAUAAAUGUAAAUAACUUGCUGAACUUUAAUAACCGGGACCUUAGGAAAUAUUUCUUUUCCACAUCAACUUCUAAAUUCUUCCACUCACUAAACCAACAAAUAAAAAAACUUGCCACAUAAGUAAUUUAAUUUAAUAAUUAGGCUUGGUUUAAUUAUCUACACAACCAUUUGUCGGAUUUCUUGGGCAAUUACGUAAUCAAUCCAACCUUGCUAACUGUCAGCGUAGAAGGACCUUAGAAAUUAAAUAACAGCUUAUCAUGCACUGCAUAAAAUAGGUUUAUCUGUAGAGCUCGAGCUCGUAAUCAAUUUGUGAGUCACACUGAUCAAUUUGUGGGUCUUAAAGGUUAGAAGUUAAGAGGUUAUUCUGGCGAGAUUUGGAUUUGGGAAUUUUUUUAAUUUGUUUUCUUGCCUCCCAAAGAUCUUAUUCUCCUUCAUUUCUUUGUUUGUUAUUACUUUUUUUUUUAAUGAGUUUUAAGAAGUUAUGGUGAUAGUGGGGGAUGAUGAUAGUGGUGAUGGGAUGAUCAAGAGGUUGGUGUUGAUAGUGUGAGAUUUGGGUAUGGAUUAUGACUUGAUUUCUAUUUCUGUUUGAUGAAUUUUUAGAUAUUAAUUUAUGCUUUUUGAAAGGGAUUUUUGUUUGAGGAAUAUUUGUAGGGUUUAGAAAUUUGACUAUAUUCAGAAGAUGAAAAUAAAGGAAGGGUAUUUUUGGAGGUUUGGUAAAAUUUUGAGGGUUAACAAGUAUAAUCACUCUCUCUUUUUUUAUCAGAUUUAAUUUAAUUUGUAAAUUGUGCAAAAAAUUAGAAGUUGAAGGUAAUGGACUGCUAAAUUUAAAGUUUGGAAUGCAAGUUCCAAUUGCGAAAUUGUUGAGGGGUGCAACUUACAAUUAACCCUAUUUCUAUUUUAUUUUAUAUUAUACAACUUGUUAAAGGGACAACUGUAGUAUUAAGAGAAAUAUUUUAAAGGGAUAAUUUCAUAAACCUCCCCUGAGGUUUUUGAUAAUUUUAUGUGGCUCCCUUAAGGUUUCAAAAUUUACAUCUACCCCCUUACCCAUUUAAAAUGACAAUACUAACCUUAAUAUUUUAAUAAAACUCUCUUGCUUCCAUGUUUAUAAAAAGGAUGGAUUUUAUAAUUUUUAUAAUUUAUGAAAAGAGGUAAAACGGGAUGAACCCCAUGGUUCAGGGGAACAAAGUGCCAUUCAUCCGCUAAUAGAUAAAUCCUUCUCUUUCUUCCUUAAAAGCCAUGUUGAUUCAGUGACAGGGCGUCAACUAAUUAAAAAUAAAUAACUACUCCAGAAAAUACGAACUUGUUUGCAGCAAUGAGUAGGAUUGUCUCCACAAGAUAGAGUUGAUUUAUUUUCUUCCAAAGCAAUGAAUAAAAAGGGGGAUUUUGGAGAAUUAAACUAACUAAUUAACUUAAACACAAAUAAACAUGCAAAGAAAAUUAACUAAGAAUAAACCAAUAAUAAUAGAGUUCUAGCCAAAGGAAUAAUCUUAGGAUUGGUUCCUAUAAUUGAUCACUAAAGCAAAGAUGAAUUCAAAUAUUAGUGAACAAAUAGGUUAUAAUUAUCAUUAAACUUUGGCAAUCAAUCUUUCCUUACUUUAUCGAUAAUCAGAGUAUGGCCACUAACUACUUCUCUAACUAAAAGAUAAUCCUAGGUACAACCAUAGAAUUAAAUCUUUUAUCAGCAUCAAGAAUUAAAAAAGCCUAAUUCGAAUCAACAAACAUGUUGCGAGAGUUCAUUUAAAUUAUAUCAUAUAUUUUCCUGAUAUAGAUCCAAUUAUGCUAGUCAACACAAAUAUUAAAACAGACAAACAAUUACGAAUUUAAUUGUUUCAAUUGGCAGCAGACUAUUGUAAAUAAUUAAAUAUUGGCCACUUAUUUAAUUACACACAAUAAUCAUCAUACAUGUAAUACAGGAAGUAUAAAAAUACCCACGAAUAGAUGAAACAGUAAACUUAAAUUAGAUAUCAUAAUUGUUUGUAGAACCAAGGCUUCGAUUAUCCUCUAACUAGAAAGAAAAUUUAGCCACUUCUUAUGGAGAAAAUGCAGCGGAGAAAACUAGGUUUUUGUCUUGAGAGAAGAAAAAAGAAAACCACCUAACUACGAUGACAAAGUGUAGAGAGAGUUUGGGAAUUAAAUAUCGAUAUUCUCGCCCUAACAAUCUAUAUGAUAAUCUCCUAAAAAUUAUUCCAAUAAAAGGAAUUAUCUUCCAUACUGGAAUAAUCUAUUUUCGUAGAUAAUGAUAUAAUAAUAUCCUUACUAACUAGUUGCCAUCCAAAAAUAAAAAGUUUUCAAGGCUGCAGAGAAAUCAAUCAAUUAUUCUCUUUAAUUGUUGAAAUUAAUCUCAGGUCCCACAACUUCUGAAUUUCCUAGGCUCUUUAAGACGCGCCCAUACUUUAUAGCAAAUAGACUUUUCAGCAACUCUUUUUAGUCCUCUUUCAUCCCAAAUUCUUAUGACAUCACUAAAACACAAAAUAUAAGUAAAAUCCACAAAAUAACACAAUAAUCUACUAAAAUGAAAGGAGAAUCGACACAAACUAUAUCUCGAUUAGGCACACAAUCAUUUAGUGACACAUGAUGAUGUAAGUAAUAUUACAUUAUUAUGAUGAUAUAUGUGGCUCUUGAGUAUGCACCACAUCGUCCAUGAGUGGUUCCGAAAAUCAAGUUUUUAAGAAGGUUUUAAAGCUGGAAAUCUUACUGGGUCAUAGGUUAUUGGUUCAAUCGUUAGAUUAAAUGUUACCAAGUCAUUGUUACUCUGUGACACCAUAUAUAUCAUAAAUAAUUAAUGUGAAAAAUCAUUCAAUACGUCCCUUAUAUUUUAUUAAAUGGUUUUUUUGUUUCUUCACUUUUAAAAUGUUAGUUUUACAUCUAUUACAAAUUCAAGUUAGUAAAAUUUGGUCCCAAUCUAAAUUUUUGACUACUUUUUAGCCUAAGAUCGCCAUGUGACCUAUAUGCAAUUAUUUUUUAUGUAAAAAAAAAUGUCAAAUACCACUUUUGUAGUGAUAAAAAUAAAUAUGGAUCGGGUCAAAUUCCAUUUUUGUUUUAAAAAAUGAAUAUGGAUCGAAUAAUUUAUUUAACUACAAAUGGGAUGUAACAUUGUUUAAUUCUAACAAUUGUUAAGUGGAUAGGAACACGAAUAGUAAUAAAUUUUGGAUUUUGUAAACAAUUUAGAGCUAAAUUAUAAUUUUUUAAAGGUGAAAUGAUAGAAACUUAAAUAUGAGGUAACAUUGAAAUCUAAAAGUAAGUAUGAGGGCUAAAUAGUAAAAUGUCAAAAAGUAUAGUGCGUUAAUCGUUUCCGAUAAUUAUAUGCUAAUGCUGGGCCGCAUUUUUUUUUUUAUUUUAAAGAAAAGCAAGACUCAAAACGGUUUAGUAAAAACAUGUCAACGGUUCGUUGGUCCGGCCAAACGAUCUAGUUGGUUUUUACUAUCUAGACCGAUUUUUUGAUCCAUCUUUAGUUUGAGACUUGACUUAGUUCAGAAAGCUACUCGAUCAACAGUUGAAUCAGCUCACUCGAACAGUCAAAACUGAGUUUUAUACUAUUAGUUUUUAUUUAAAUAUUUUCAAUACCCAUUUAUAAGAUUAUGGCACUUGUAAGUUCUCCAUGAACCGAAAAUAAAAAGAUAUUUGUGUUAUAGUUGAAAUGAUGAGUGAAGAAAUUUACUGAUGCUGUCAAUAAUGUAUCGACGGGAUACUUGAGCAACGAAUAAUACUUUUCUUUGGGUAAACAAUCAACUAUUAUUGAUAAAGCACAUAUUACACAUAUCUGUAAAAGGAUGGGUAGUAUUUGGCACGUCUUCAAUUCGCCACACAGGUAGCUGAACUCAUCUAUAAAAGGGGUCGAUCUGUGGGCAACCAAAUACACACCAAACCAAAAAAUACACACGAAAGCAAGCCUGCAAAAACAACCGAGAGGAGAAAAAAUGGCUCCCUGUUUUAGAGCACUAGUCAUAGCAAUAACAUCGCUGUUGAUGAUAUCUUCAGUGAUCAGGUCUUCCGAUGCUGCUGGAAUUGCCACCUACUGGGGCCAAAACACUGACGAAGGAAGCCUGGAAGACGCAUGCCGGAGAGGUACCUAUGACUACGUGAAUCUUGCCUUUCUGAUAAAUUAUGGCAAUGGCCAGACACCAGAAUUGAACUUAGCUGGGCAUUGUGAGCGAAGCGCUUGCUCCUCGCUUAGUUCUGAGAUAAAAGCUUGCCAGAAACGAGGCAUCCAAGUGCUUCUUUCUCUCGGUGGAGCUCCAAACCUUUCUUCACGCGAUGAUGCUAAGGAAGUCGCGUCCUAUCUCUAUAAUAAUUUCCUUGGCGGUGAAUCACAAAAUCGUCCAUUAGGCGAUGCUGUCUUAGACGGUAUAGACUUUCAUAUCCAAGGUGGAAGUAGGGAUUUCUUGGAUGAUCUCGCCAAGGCGCUCUCAGAAUAUAGAACAACAGAGAGAAGGGUGCACUUAUCUGCAGCACCACAAUGUUUCUAUCCUGACUAUUAUCUUGACGCUGCCAUCAGAACUGGCCUCUUUGAUUAUGUGUGGGUGCAAUUUUACAACAAUCCGCCUUGUCAGUAUAGUAUGGGCAAUGCCAACAACCUCAUCAACAGUUGGAGCUCUCAUUGGGCUUCACAUCCAGGAGUUAACAAACUAUUCCUGGGAUUACCUGCAUCCCCUGAAGCCGCUCCUUCUGGCGGUUACAUUCCACAUCGGAUUCUUAUUCGUGAAGUUCUUCCCCAAAUCCAGGACUAUCCCAACUAUGGAGGCGUCAUGCUUUGGAACGUAUACUAUGACGAGAAUUAUAGUCAGGCAAUCAGGCCUUAUGUUAACCCUGAAACUCUGACUUUUGAUCGCAGGUCCACGAUUAAGUACCCAAGAAAGUCCAUGAUAAAGUCUUUUGUGGAUGAGUAAGUUCCUCUCAUUAUCUUAUGAGAGAUGAAAUAAGUAUAAUAUAAUCCCGGUGGUUUGAGCCAGAGAUAAUGUUAAUAAAUAAGUUCCUCUCAUUAUCCUGUGAGAGAUGAAAUGUAAUCCGGGUUGCUUUUGCAAGAGAUAAAUUGAAUAAAUAAAUAAAACAUGGGUUUUCAAUCCCCAAACUAAGGGCAGUCGCGUUUGAUUUUUUUUAAUUCGUGUUUGUUCUUGAGUAAAAACUAUCACGAACAGUAUCAUUAGUUUUAAUUUCCCCUUACUCUUCAGAAAAAAAAGGGUAUUGAAAAAAAAAAAACAUGCAAAAGGUACUAGAUCAAAAUCUCUCACUCGCUAGACAAAGAAUUUCAAGAUAACAGCCCUUGAUCCAAUCCGCAUUCCAAUGCAAGUUCCUGGUUUUACUUAGUAUGAGGAACCUUGGGCCAUGCGAGAUCAAAUAAAAAAAUAAUAUCAUCAGAUAUUUAUUCUCCAAAAUCAAUAUAUUUAUUCAAGAGCAUUUUACAUUUCAGUACACCUUUACUGUUGAGAAUAUUACUGUUCUGUUAGCUUCUAUGCAAAGUUUGUUUCAUAUGCAAUAACGUACUUAGUAACUAAACUUCCAUCACUUGCAGAUAUUAAUCCAGGAAAAAGAUGAAUAAUUGUUUUCUUUUAUAUGGAUUAAUCUUCUAUACAUUGACAGUGUAUACACUUUCAUCAUUAGAUGCAUGACACAUAAUCCGAAUUUGAAUUUGAAACUCAAAUAUUGUAUAUAUGUCGUAUAUUCAACUGUGAUGGCGUAUAUACCGUCAAUGUAUAUAAGAUUUAUUUUUUAUAUAUAUAUACACAUAUAAGGAAAGCAAUGACGUUCAAAACUUAAGAUCGAUGUACAAUUCAGUUUUGCUUAAAUUCUUAGCUCGAGGCCUGUUCAAAUCUUGUAAAAAGGUACUGGUAAUAAAUGAAAAUCUAAAGUUUGCUCUAAGGUAGGUAAUAUUAUAGCAAUUGGUCCUCUUCUUAAUUUAGUUCUUCCAGUAAAUUUGAUAUAUCGUUUACGAUCAUCCAGCAUUAUGGAUAUUGCUUUCUCUUUGUGAAAAUUUUUAGUUUUGAGCAAAGUCUUUGGUUUUUAGUCAAGUUCUUGCGUUGGACAGCUCUACAUCUUGGAACUGGUGAUUCGUACAAAUAUACAGUAUCUUGGAAAUAUUAGACUUUUUUUUUUAAAAAAAAAAACCUUAUUUUAUUAAUGAAGCAAAAAGGAAUACAUGAAUGCGUGUUCAGGCUGCACCACUCGACCUACAGCUAGGCCUAGAGCUGUUAAACGAACCGAGUUGUUCGGUAGCUCGGUUCGUUUCGACUCGUUCGAAACCUUAAAUGAACCGAGUUCGAACGAAUGUUUUUGUUCGAUUAAUAAUCGAGCGAACACGAGCAUGUUCGCGAGUUUUAACGAACGUUCGCGAACAUGCUAAACGAACGUUCGCGAACACGAGCAUGUUCGCGAGUUUUAACGAACGUUCGCGAACAUGGACAUAAUUAUCAUUUGAUAAAUUUUAGGGUUAAUUUUAUGGCUGGACUUUUAUGUUUGGAGGGCAAAUUACUUUGUUUUAUUUGUUAUUUUUAUGUUAAUGUUAGUUAUAUAGUUAAUGAAUAAUAGAAUUUAGUCACUUAGUGCUUUAAUUGUUUUUGAGAAUAGUUAAUAAUUUGCAUGACAUAUUUAAGGCUUAAAAUAAUUUGGAUUCGAGCAUUUCGAGUAUGUUCGCGAACGGCUCAUUUAUGUUAAAUGAGUCGAACACGAACUCGAAUUCGAACACGAAUUUUGCUUAACGAGCCGAACACGAACACAUGUUUGAAGUUCGAAAAUUAACGAACGAACACGAACGUUGUUCGAACUGCUUAACGAACAGAGCUCAAACAUGAGAUACUCGGUUCGAUUCGGUUCGUUUACAGCUCUAGCUAGGCCCCAAGGACCUCUUAGAAAAUCGAAAACUCCCAAUCCCCAGUCUAUCGACCUGACAUAGGCCCCUCACCGACCUUGGCAAGGACGUGAAGGAGAGCAAGAGACAAAAGUUGCUGGAGCGGCUACCCAGCGAUGCCAACGAAUCCGCCACAGCAUUACCUUCUCGAUGGAUAUGUUGAAAGGACGAUAUAGCUGGCGAGAGUUGCCGAAGAUGACGGAGGAUUGGCAAUAGCGAAACCGGAACGCCCCAUACCCCUGUAGAACGUCGAUCAGGAUCUUUGAGUCGCCCUCCACCACGACUGGGCCAUGGCGGAAUAGGUUACACAAUUCAAGCCCCGUGCACAGUGUGAGGCCCCGAAAAAAAUGAGUUUGAGAACCCGGAAAUUUUAAUUUUCUAGGGUUUAUUUUGUUUAAAACAAAACCCGCAUUUUCUACAUUUUCUUGAUUAGAAAAAAUCCCAGAUAAAGUUUAUGAGCAAAAAUAGUUUUAAAAUGAUUUUUCUAGUAUCGGUUAGUUUUUGAGAAAUUAAAAGCGUAUUUUGGACGUGGGACCCACUAGUGCGAAAAGUUCGGAAAAUUCGGCCAAUUAGGUUAAAUUCCGGAUACUGUGUAAAAUUUAUCGGGUGUUAAGAGAUAAGUAGAGUGUGUGAAAUGAUUGAUGAGAGAGAGAAAAGAAAGGAUAGGAAUGCAUUUAUUGUAGUGCCACAUGUCACCAUGAUAUUGGUUAGGACUUAAGACUACUAUUCAUGGUUUUGACCUUUUGACUUAUGGAUUAAAUAUCUUCAAAAUUCACAAAAAAAUUACCAUUUUUCACCCCUUGAUGGCCGGCCCUCUCUAGCAAGAAGAAAGACAAAACUCUUCAACAUCUUGGCAAAUUCCUAGCUCAAAUCAUCCAAACUACUUACCUAAAUUAGUUUUUACUCCAUAAAAUCCUUCCACUUGGUAUUAGUGAGUGUUUUGGUGAAGCUUUUGGAGAACUUAAGGUGUCCAACAUCUUCCUCUCUCUUGUUUACUUGGUAAGUAGUGAUUGACUAUCCUCUUACACCUAAUGAUGUUGAAUUUAUGCCUAAUGGUGGCUAUUGUGUUAGAAAUUGUGGUUUAUUUCUUGGUUUGAAGUGAUUUGGUUAAGUUUUUAUUUUUUUGAGGAAUUUUCUGGUUUUAUGUGAUCUUGAUGGUGUGGUUGUUUUUGAUGGUUGGUAAUAAGGGGCUAUGGAUCUAGUAGGUGCAUAUGAUAGGAAAUUGCAACUAAUUUUGGGUUUGGAUUGAAUUGUGGAAAGUUAGGGUUUUAUCACCCCUAAUUCUGUCCGGUUUUAGAUCAUAGGGUUAGAGGCCGAAUUGGACUUUGCUCAAAACAUGAAACUUGUAGGUAUUGAUGAGUUUGAAGUGCCUGCAAAAUUUCAGGGCAUUUGGAGUAGUGUAGAGUGAGUUAUGCCGUUUUUACUGUUGCUGUUCUGGGUGAUCAGAAUGUGCGAACUGUGAUUGUAAUCGUCUGUUUUGACUGGAAUUGCUUUGGAUUUGGAUGUUGGUGUCUUCUGAUGAAAUGUAGCUUGAUGCCUUAGCUAUCAUAUGCCUUUGGAAUCAAUGCAUUUGGACCUGUGUAACUGAGUUGGACGAAUUACAGCAUUGUGUGAUUUGGGAACCUGCAAUUACGAUUCUGGUUUGGUAUUCUGCAUUUUUGACCUAGUUGUGCUAGGAUUUGGACUGAGUGACCUUCUACAUUGUUGUAGCCCUGGUUCUUAGCUUCGAAACGGUGGGUCUUGGACCUCCAUCCGAUACUCGUAAUACCUUUGGUGCCAUUACCGCAAAAGGACGUCAAAACUGUUUUCUGGUUUUGAGCAAUUGUGGUUAAUUGCUUUGUGAUUGGGUUUGAUUGUAGGAUGGAAAGGAUGAAUUUAUGGGGAAAUGCUGUCCGAUUUUUAAUAGCGUUGGUUACCUUAAGUUUCAUGUGAAAGGCUUGGACUUGAAUGAUGGAAUUGGCUAUAUUGGACGAGGAUUGUGAGCCGUGGAGGUGAGUGACCUUAAACUACUUGCAACGUUACUUUAAAAUGUUUCUUGCAUCGUUUCUUUGAUUGCAUAUCCUGUGUGCCGGCAUAUAAGUUCUUGACAUGUUUUGGCUCAAAUGAGUACUUGGAAUUCGUGUGCUAGACUCCGACGUCUCCUCCACCGUUUAAUGUUCCUGUAGGGCACCAAUGGGCUCAAUGUUCAAUGUUAAUGUUCAAUGUUAAAUGAUUGUUUGGAGCGUUGGACGUCUAAGUACCAUGAUUUCACUGGCUCAUGAGAGAAGUGAAAGUGCAUUGAUUGUUGAAGCAUGACAUUAUUGAAAUGAACGAUUGUGAAACUGAUUUGAUAACUGAAUUUCUUGGUUACUCGCUGAGCUUCUAGCUCACCCCAAAAUGUUUUAUUCCCCUCCACAGGGCUCAAGGCGAAGGAGUGGCUUGUAGUGUUUAUCAUGGAUUAUCUCAUGUAUGGACUGAAUUUGGAUUUCCUUUUGUGUAAUCGUUCAUAUUGGGAUUGUAUUGAACGUUUAGAAUUGCUUGGAUGUGUAAUAUGCUAGUUUUGGACUUCCUCCUGUAUCAUAAUUGGGAUCAUGGAUCAGAGUGGCGCAGUGGAAGCGUGGACGCUUCGCUUUUGAUAUGUAAAGUUUGGGAACCUUUGAUGUAUAUUUGAUAUAUAUAUCUUGAAAUUCCAUUGAGAAUUGUAGUGAACGACUGAGUCCUGGCGAGAGCUGGGCAGGCGGCCCGCCGAACCCUCUGGUUCGCCUUAGGGGGAGGUGGGGCCGUUACAGUUGGUAUCACAGCUUAGGCUUCAGAUCUCUAUAGUGUAUCCUAGGCUUGAAGUUUAGGAUGCCGGACUGUGGGUUUGGUUUGAAGUAUUAGUGAUUCUUGCGGGAUGUCUUGACUUGAUUAGUACAAGAGGGAAUGACGAGGACGACAUUCUUUUAAGGAGGGGAGAUUGUGACGCCCCGAAAAAAAAUGAGUUUGAGAACCCGGAAAUUUUCUAAUUUUCUAGGGUUUAUUUUGUUUAAAACAAAACCCGCCUUUUCUACAUUUUCUUGAUUAGAAAAAAUCCCAGAUAAAGUUUAUGAGCAAAAAUAGUUUUAAAAUAAUUUUUCUAGUAUCGGUUAGUUUUUGAGAAAUUAAAAGCGUAUUUUGGACGUGGGACCCACUAGUGCGAAAAGUUCAGAAAAUUCGGCCAAUUAGGUUAAAUUCCGGAUACUAUGUAAAAUUUAUCGGGUGUUAAGAGAUAAGUAGAGUGUGUGAAAUGAUUGAUGAGAGAGAGAAAAGAAAGGAUAGGAAUGCAUUUAUUGUAGUGCCACAUGUCACCAUGAUAUUGGUUAGGACUUAAGACUACUAUUCAUGGUUUUGACCUUUUGACUUAUGGAUUAAAUGUCUUCAAAAUUCACAAAAAAUUACCAUUUUUCACCCCUUGAUGGCCGGCCCUCUCUAGCAAGAAGAAAGACAAAACUCUUCAACAUCUUGGCAAAUUCCUAGCUCAAAUCAUCCAAACUACUUACCUAAAUUAGUUUUUACUCCAUAAAAUCCUUCCACUUGGUGUUAGUGAGUGUUUUGGUGAAGCUUUUGGAGAACUUAAGGUGUCCAACAUCUUCCUCUCUCUUGUUUACUUGGUAAGUAGUGAUUGACUAUCCUCUUACACCUAAUGAUGUUGAAUUUAUGCCUAAUGGUGGCUAUUGUGUUAGAAAUUGUGGUUUAUUUCUUGGUUUGAAGUGAUUUGGUUAAGUUUUUAUUUUUUUGAGGAAUUUUCUGGUUUUAUGUGAUCUUGAUGGUGUGGUUGUUUUUGAUGGUUGGUAAUAAGGGGCUAUGGAUCUAGUAGGUGCAUAUGAUAGGAAAUUGCAACUAAUUUUGGGUUUGGAUUGAAUUGUGGAAAGUUAGGGUUUUAUCACCCCUAAUUCUGUCCGGUUUUAGAUCAUAGGGUUAGAGGCCGAAUUGGACUUUGUUCAAAACAUGAAACUUGUAGGUAUUGAUGAGUUUGAAGUGCCUGCAAAAUUUCAGGGCAUUUGGAGUAGUGUAGAGUGAGUUAUGCCGUUUUUACUGUUGCUGUUCUGGGUGAUCAGAAUGUGCGAACUGUGAUUGUAAUCGUCUGUUUUGACUGGAAUUGCUUUGGAUUUGGAUGUUGGUGUCUUCUGAUGAAAUGUAGCUUGAUGCCUUAGCUAUCAUAUGCCUUUGGAAUCAAUGCAUUUGGACCUGUGUAGACUGAGUUGGACGAAUUACAGCAUUGUGUGAUUUGGGAACCUGCAAUUACGAUUCUGGUUUGGUAUUCUGCAUUUUUGACCUAGUUGUGCUAGGAUUUGGACUGAGUGACCUUCUACAUUGUUGUAGCCCUGGUUCUUAGCUUCGAAACGGUGGGUCUUGGACCUCCAUCCGAUACUCGUAAUACCUUUGGUGCCAUUACCGCAAAAGGACGUCAAAACUGUUUUCUGGUUUUGAGCAAUUGUGGUUAAUUGCUUUGUGAUUGGGUUUGAUUGUAGGAUGGAAAGGAUGAAUUUAUGGGGAAAUGCUGUCCGAUUUUUAAUAGCGUUGGUUACCUUAAGUUUCAUGUGAAAGGCUUGGACUUGAAUGAUGGAAUUGGCUAUAUUGGACGAGGAUUGUGAGCCGUGGAGGUGAGUGACCUUAAACUACUUGCAACGUUACUUUAAAAUGUUUCUUGCAUCGUUUCUUUGAUUGCAUAUCCUGUGUGCCGGCAUAUAAGUUCUUGACAUGUUUUGGCUCAAAUGAGUACUUGGAAUUCGUGUGCUAGACUCCGACGUCUCCUCCACCGUUUAAUGUUCCUGUAGGGCACCAAUGGGCUCAAUGUUCAAUGUUAAUGUUCAAUGUUAAAUGAUUGUUUGGAGCGUUGGACGUCUAAGUACCAUGAUUUCACUGGCUCAUGAGAGAAGUGAAAGUGCAUUGAUUGUUGAAGCAUGACAUUAUUGAAAUGAACGAUUGUGAAACUGAUUUGAUAACUGAAUUUCUUGGUUACUCGCUGAGCUUCUAGCUCACCCCAAAAUGUUUUAUUCCCCUCCACAGGGCUCAAGGCGAAGGAGUGGCUUGUAGUGUUUAUCAUGGAUUAUCUCAUGUAUGGACUGAAUUUGGAUUUCCUUUUGUGUAAUCGUUCAUAUUGGGAUUGUAUUGAACGUUUAGAAUUGCUUGGAUGUGUAAUAGGCUAGUUUUGGACUUCCUCCUGUAUCAUAAUUGGGAUCAUGGAUCAGAGUGGCGCAGUGGAAGCGUGGACGCUUCGCUUUUGAUAUGUAAAGUUUGGGAACCUUUGAUGUAUAUUUGAUAUAUAUAUCUUGAAAUUCCAUUGAGGAUUGUAGUGAACGACUGAGUCCUGGCGAGAGCUGGGCAGGCGGCCCGCCGAACCCUCUGGUUCGCCUUAGGGGGAGGUGGGGCCGUUACACACAGUGCCCUAGCCUCAGCUUGCAAUGACGUCACAUUUCUAUACAGCUCCGAAUAUGCAAAAAUCACCCGACCCUUAGAAUCCCUCGGUACUCCCCCUCCUCCGCCUGUGAAUGGGUGAUGACAGACCCAUCAAAAUUGAGCUUCACCACCGCUGCCGUUGGGUGGACCCACCGCACAUACCGCACAUACCGCACCUGGACAGGGAGACGGACUUCACCAAGGCGUCGGAUCACCGCCUGCCAGCUACACCCCCGCACCUGACAUCGAAGGAAUGGAAACUGAGAUCCAAGUAAGUCCCUAAAGUCACCCAAUAUUCUAUUCGAGAUGAUCUCCGCUGAAAGGACCUGUCCAUCGUAAACAAACCCACAUCGCGCCUUCCACAAAUGCCAUAAAAUAAUUGCUGGCCCAACGUGCAAUACCCAUCGCAAGAUCCAAUGAUGCGACUGUGCAAACCACCAGGACAUACACCGAUCACGGAUCGAUCUGCCGAGAGAAGAGACUCCAAAUGGCGAUCCAAAGAAACCCCAGAUUGCCGUGGGAAUGUCCCCCAUGGAAAAAAUAUGUUGCAUGGUCUCAAGUUGCGGCUCGCUACAACAGAAUUAUAUCUUGGAAAUAUUAGACAUAAAGAGCAGGAUCUUUAGCAUGAUUUGUAAACUAUAAUUAAGAGAUAAAUUCUAAAUUGGCAUACCUUGUGACAUUGAAGACAUUUUGGAGAAGAAUUCUACAGCUCUGUAUCACCAAGCCUUUCAAUCUCCAAGGUUGUAAUGAUACGAACUCGACCCAACAAGAACCUGUCUUGAAGAACCAAAUUGAUCAGGCAGCGGAAGGAUCUAUCUUGAUUAGGUUAUGGAACAAUAACUACCUUGCUAGAUUUAAAGAGAACUCGUCUCUAGAAACCUAGUGGAUUAGUUAUUGACUUGAAAAAAACAAGAUGAUGUGAUCAUCUUGUCUUGAACACCACAAGUAUCCAAGCUAAUACUUGAUACAGUUCAAGAAGAAACUCAAGUUCCAUCAAGGAACUCCAUAAAAGGAGACAACUCUCUUUUUAUUAAUUCAUCUUCAACAUCAUAUUUUUUGAAUAGUUAAAUUAAGUUGGCUAUUUAUAACCUUACAAGACUCAAAACCCUAAUCUAAAUUGAAAACAAUACAAGUUUCCUUAUUUGACUUGACUUCUAAACUUGACACAACUUCCUAAAUAAAUUUGGAAGCAAUUUAACUACUUUCCUAAAACUCUAAUUCAACUAGAAUAGGAAACUAGCUAACUCAAAUUGGCUUAACUAUGGUCAACAUGACCUUAGCCUUUAUUCCCUAAUUCAAACAACUUACUUAACUCUCAAAUUAACUCUAAUUAACAACUAACAUUGCUGAAAACUCAAUUAAAUAAAUGAUAACAAGAAAUAAGCAUGACACGGGGUUGGAUCUUCAAUGAUUCUCGAGCCCGAUUGCACCAUCAACCAUCAAAUGAAUUUUCCUUGAAUUUGAAGGGAAUCCGAAUCUUCAUGUUCUCAUCAUGUAAACUAUCGCUUUAUGCUAUCCAGCCUUCCCUCACCUAACUCCCUUUUUUGUUAUUUUAGUGAUGGGUAAAAAUAACGUAUGUCAGAGUGGUGAGAAGGACCAAGAGCCCUAGAACAUUUAUAGAGUCACAAUCCCUCCCAUCAUGGGAUAAUGAUAAACUCUAAUUUUCUUAUCGUACUUUAUUUGUUAACCAUAAUGAUAAGAUACAGUUUAAAAUUACUGUAAUUAUCAGAUAAAGUACCACAAUAAAUAUCAUAUAAUAUGUUCACAUACAAUGAAUAUGGGACUCCCUACUUCCUCCAAUCAUCUAUUCUCAUUAGAGCUCUGUAAUUGGUUAUUCAUAUUUAUUCAUAUGGUUAUUCAUCCUUCUAAUUAACGGGAGUUAUCUUAAUAAUAUUAUACGUGGUCAUGUAGGCCACAUAAAUAUUCUAAUAGGAAAAUCUUCUUAAUUUGUAUAGUAUCUUGCACAAUCCAACUUGGAAAGUCGUACUACUAAUUUGGGAAGCAAAAGAAACGGAGGAUCGCGCCUAAUCUUUGGCCAUUUUGUUCAAUAUUUCUCCCAUUUUACAUUAACCCCUAGUUUGGUAUGUGAAAAUGUCCAGAAUAAAAAAAAUCUUUCCACUUGGAAUACCUUUUCACCAUGAUGGUAGGGAGAAAAAUUUAUCAUUUUACUGUCUAGUAUAUAAGGCAAAAUAGAAUGUUCAUUCAUUUUUAAGUGUUUGAAAUAAUCAAUAUUAAAAUACCAAAAUACAUUACAGUCGAUACAAAUUUGAUUUAAUUACCCUAAAUUAGUUUACGGGACACAACAUGCUUUAUUACUUUUGUCUUGUUGGUUCUAUUGUGUUAUUUGUUUGUUUACAUGGAAUUUUGACAUUUUUUGUAUUCGAAAUAAUUGAUAAUUGAUAUUAAAAUAGUUCAAUUGUAAUAAUUGAUUCAUUCUAGAAUAUAGACCUUUACAUUCAACUGUUGCAUCUUCUGGCCAUAUAAUUAAUAUAAAUUAUAUGAAUCUAAACAAAUAUAAUAUAAUUUCGAUUCUUAUUAAAAUUUGACACUCCUAAGAAGUUGUAUGAAUUAUCAAAAAAUUGAACAAAGUACUUAUAUUGCUUGUACGCAAAAUAUUUAAGAUUGACGAACAAAACGAUGGCCUGCUGCCUACAUUCUUUCACUUUCUCACUCUCUAUCUCUUCCUCUAGAGAGAGAAAGAGAAAAAAAUGGUGGUACAGAACGGACUCUCUCAAUUUUUUCUUUUGCCUCCCUGAUUUUCUUUUUCCAAGGUUUCUUGCCCUUACUUUCUUCUACCCAACUAAUUGCCCAAUUCUUGUUGGGGCUGAACCUAUCUAUCUAUGUGUGAUUCAAGAAAGAAAUAAAACUAAAACUGCUGCUGCGCGCCUUAAUUGGUCCUCCGUCGUCUUUGCCACUGAACGGAUUCCUUCAUUUUUUUUUUAGGUGUGGCUAGAUAUUGAAAGGGUUGAAGAAAAUUUAAGAUUGAAUUUGAGUCUUUGCACUUGCAAUUAAUUUGUAGGUGUUCUUGGUUUCUUACAGUUGAUGACGGAUUAUUACUGACGAGUUCCAUGGGAACUAUCUUCAGUUACAAAUAGAAAUAAACUGGAAAUUAUUUCAUAGAAUGGUACCUAAGAUAAUGAUUGUGAAAUCAGUAUUCAUCGCAAGCAGAUUGUCAUAAUUAAAGAUGUAAAGAUAUAUAAGACUGUAGCCAGUUUGUGAUCGCUAUAAAAAUAGAAAAUAAUAUAAUAUAUCAUUUGUCCAAACAUAAUAAUUCCAACUUCACACAAGUUAAACGAAUUCAUUUAGGAUUAAGUCGUUAAUGCCUUUGAGAAAAAAAGAAUAACUUAGUUUAGUUAGAUAAAAUAUUUUUAUAUUUAUUAAAUUAUUUUUAAUUCAUAAACGGUGAUCAAGUCAACCCGUUGGUGACUUGAAUUCGACCUUUUUUUUUUCAGGUUCAUCGGGUUCGACCCAAUUCUAACUCAAACCCAUUAAUUUCAACCCAAACCCAUUAAUUUCAUGUUAGAUUCAUAUUAUAUUUUCAGGUCGUAUCGAAAAUUGCCUCCUCUAGAUUUAACUUACCAAAAAAGAAAAAGUAAAUUUCAGCUGCAAAGCUUUGAGUAAUUUUGAAGUGGGAAAAUCAUUUGAAAAGCUCUUCACAUUUCACUAAAUGAAUUUUUUUUUUGUCUUUCACUUUUAAAAUAAUAAAUUUACGUUUCUUAAAAAAUCAAAUCUGUAAAAUUAAGUUCAACCUAGGUUUUCGACUACUUUUUACACUGAAUUUAUCAUGUAACCCAAAUAUGAUCAUUUUUUCGGAACAGAAAGGUUAAAUCUCAUUUGUAGUCGAACAAAUGGCUUGAUCCAAAAGAGUAAGAUCUGACCUAAAUCAUAUUUAUUUUUUCCUGAAAAGUGGGAUCUGAUUUAAUUCAUAUUCAUUUUUAUCCUAAAAAAAUGAAAUUUGACUUUUUUAUACAUAAAAAAUGAUUGCAUGUGAACCACAUGGUGAUUUCAAGCUAAUGUUUUUGGUAAAAAACUUAGAUUCGAACAAAAUUUUGUUAACUUGAAUUUGUAAGGGACAUAAAGCUAAUAUUUUAAAAAUGAAGAACCAAAAAAUUUAUUUAACAAAAUAUAGGAGACGUUUUGAAAGAUUUUCACUUUUGAAGUUCAGUCUUUUGAAUACUGCCUAUCCUUUGAUUUCCUAUUGUACUGCUUUUCAGUGAUUUAUUGAGAGCUCCUAUUUGGAAAUGGUCAAACCUAACAACGGAUCUCAGCGUUAUUUGAAACCAUGAAAACUGCAAAGACAAGUUGGUCAUUAAAAAAUCUACUACAGCCAACGACAUUAGCCUUAUUUGAAUUGCAAGUUUUCACAAACAAAUUUUGAAAUAUUUUUUAGUCACAUAUUUAUCUUAUAGAUGUUAUAUUAAUUAUUAUAAUAUAUUUUUCUAUGAAACUCUAUGAAAUUAUAUACGUUCUAUUAUCUUAUAUACGUCAUGUCACUAUAUAGUAUAUUUUUCUAAGAAACUCUGUAAACUUACAAUUCAAACUGUAACUUUUCAUUUUAGUGCGUCCUUUCUAAGUGAUUUUAGUGCGUCCACUUCAAUUCAUGCAUGAUAGUCCAGAAUUCUGUAGAAGGACAAUAAUUUAGGAAGGACUGGAAAAUUCAAUGGAAACAAGACAUGUCGCAUUCGGAAGUGCGAUAAUGUAAUCAACCUCACUAUUAAAAGAAGAACAAGAUUGUAUAAAUCCAUACAUCAAAUCCGUAUUCAAUAGCUUUAGUCGAAAUUCGUGCUCCCCAAGAAAGUACAAGUGAACUUCUUAUUCAUCAAAUGUGCAUAAACAAUAUGAUGUGGCCUAGAGAAAAGUUCAAGCUAAGAUGCUCAAGUAUAAGAUAAAAUUGAGUGAAGGGAGAAGGUUGAUUUAGACCUAUUCAUCAUCAAUUUUGAUUUACAUAUUCCAAUCUGUUGCCACAAAAAAAAAUCAAGCACAGGGAAAAUUAUUUUAAUAUAUAUAAAAAUAUGUGAAAAGAGGAAGAGAAUAAAUACACAAUAUAACUUAAAUAAUUUUAUAAACUAAACUCAACAUUAAUACUCACAAAUAACAAUUUGAGAAGCUUUCUCUCAAUGUCCUUCAAGAAAACAAUGAGAUGGUACUACUCAAUUUAUAGAGUAUCCAACGGACUAUAGUUACAAAGGAAUACGACAAUGGGCAAAUAUAUAUAUAUAUAUAUAUAUAUAUAUAUAUAUAUAUAUAUUGCAAUUCUGAACAGGCGAGGAGUAUCCCUCUCCCAAAAUGAUAAAUGUAACUUGCUAAACUUGAAUGACCAGACAUUAGGAAAUAUUUCUUUGCCGCAUCAACUUCUAAAUUCUUCAACUCACUAGACUAACCAAAAAAAAAAAAGAGUUGCCACAUAACUAAUUUAAUUUAAUAAUUAGUCUUGGUUUAAUUACCUGCUGGACUUGGAUUUUAUCUCGGGAUAAAACUCAAAUCCAACAAAAUAACGGUUGGUGGGAUAAAACUCAAAUCUAACAUUGUCUACACAACCAUUAAUCAUCUUUCUUGGGCAAUUACAUAAUCAAUCCAAUCUUGCUAAUUGUCAGCCUUGAAGGACAACGCUUGGAAAUUAAUUAACAGCUUAUCAUAUGCACUACAAAAUACAGAAGUUUAAUCCAUAGGUUUAUUUGUAGACCAUGUAAUCAAUUGGUGAGCCACACUCACCAAUUGAUUCAGUGAUGUAUGUUUAUAUUACUAGCAUUAGAUUAUAAAGAAAAUUGAUGUGGCUAUAGAGUUCAAAAAUAUCUUUCAAACCCGUUUAGAUUAGGUUAGGAUACGCCAAGAACGAGAUAUGGGAGGAUAACAGUUGCAUGUUUUUAAUUGUCGGCUGUCUAUUCUGUAUCGACGUGGAGACUUGGAGCCGCGAGCUUAGAAAUUAGUGACUUUCAUAACUUAGGACAGGUUAGGUAAGUACAAUAAUUGCCCCAUCCAUUAUUACGCACUCAAAGGGACCCAUUUCACAUUAUCCUGCUCGGGAUGUUUGCAUUUAAUUUGCUGGGCAUUUAUCUGAAAGGAAUAUUCUUUUAGAUGCGUUACAUGCCAAACGAUAGCAAUAAUUAGAACUGUACAAUUUGUAUGAAGAGUUGGAGUCAGUCCCAUUCGCUCUUGAGCUGCUGUGUUUCACAUUUCUAUGUUGCACUACUAUUUUAUGACUCGUCGAGAGAGACAUUCUAUUGUGUCCGGAAAAAAAAAAGAAUUGGAUUUUUAUUCAUUAUUGCAUCGGAUAUGUCAUUGGUGGAGUCAGAACCUUGUGAUAAGGGUGCAAUGACCAAUUUCAGUGUAAAUCAUACUUUUAGGCUUAGUUUGGGAGUUUAGGAUAGAAAAGAAAGGAAGGGAAAACUCAAGUUAUGAGAGAAGAGAAGAGAAGAAGGGAUUGUUAUAUUGUUUGGGAGCGUUGAAAAUUAGUGGAAUGAUUUUGGAUAUGAAAAUCAUUAAAUAUCUGUUUAAUACCUUUUUAAGGACAAAUAGGUAUUUUAAAAAAAUUGAUAAGCUUCUGAUGCGACUGCCGAGAGCGCGUUCCGAGCUGAGCUGCGCUAGGCUGAACGAACUAAGGAUGACUGAACUGGUACUAGCGGGGUGAGCGAGCUGACCUGCAAGAAAGACCGGGGCUGGUUCCUCGGUGUAGCUCUGACGGUCAAGUCAGUACGAGUUUAAGAGUAGGGUAACAACGUAGAUAUUGUUGAUGGCGUACCUUGCUUUGUCUUGUGGUGGUGUAUUUAUAAGAUCCCGAGUAGUAGUUUCCCUAUAGGAUUAGAAGUCCGACUAGAAAGGGAGUCUUUCUAGGGUUUCGUCUGCUAAUUUCGAAAGGUUCGGGGGCUGCGACCCACCAGGCCCAUCCAAUUGGGAGGCGGCGCCCAUGCGCGAACUGUCCUCCCUCCUGCCCGAGCUGUUUGGCCGAACUGCCAGGUCACAAUGUCCGAACUGACACGUGGCUCCUGCGGAUUGGCCCCACUACACUAGCCCCCCUUUGAGUCUAUAGUCAUCGAAAGAUCGCAUGAAUCAGGACCGAAUUUCGAGGUGACGGGUCAGUUCGGUGUGGGACCCAUAAUCCCACGAUUGCUGCCUUUGCUCGAGUAACCGUCACUUCAAGCGUUACGUCCCUUCAUAAUGACGGUUACCAGCCCAAUCGUCGCGCAAUACAGCGGUCUUUCGAUAAAUAAAUUUUAAUUUUAAUUUGGGACGCUUGACAGGUGCUGAACCUGUGCAAUAAUAAUAAUAAAUAAACCUAACUACCACCAACGCAGUCAAUAACCAAUUCUAGGUACUGGAACAGAGACUCUAGGUGUGCAAUGGGUUACUUGAUUCACCCUGUUCCCAAAGAGUUUGCUUAAUCCGAUAUACCAGAAUUAAUUAGUUGACAAAAUUUACUAACUAGUAGACAGUGGCAAGCAGGGUCGUCUCCUCAGGGAUUGGAGAUAUUUGUCUCUUUGAAGUUCCAAUUAGUAAAAAUGGGGGUUUUAUCGGAAUAAAACUAAAAAUAUUUAAGCAAUUCAACUAAAAAUAAAUAAUUAACUAGCACGAAUGUAGACAGGAAUUAAAUCAAGAAUAGAUAAAUUCUAACCAAGAAUACAACUACUCAGACACAGUCCAUUCAUCCAAUCAUUGAUGCAAGAGAUGUUCACUUAAUUUAUUAAUAGAUUAGUUAUAGUCGCCGACGAGCUCUGACGACCAAUUUUUCCUUAAUUUAUUGAUAACCAAGGUACGACAAUUGAUUACUUCUAACCAGAAAAUACUCCUAGGUAGGACCAUAGGAAUUAAUUUCUCAAUUGCAUUAAGAAUUAGAAAAACCUAACUCCAAUCAAUAACACGCUACGAGGGUUAUUCAAAUCAGAUUGCACGUCCCCCUAGUGUGUAAAAACGCUAGUUGCCACUGAUAUUAAUCGAUUAAAUAAUUACGGAUUUAAUUGACUAAUUUGGCAGGAGAUUAAUAAGUCGCAUUGAACAUUGGGCCCUUGACAUUUAAUUAACUAAAUAAUCCCAUAGAAAUUCAAACAGACAACGUGCAAAUAUUAACAAAUUAAGAAACACAUGAAAAUUAAUUCGAUCUCACAGAUAUUCGGGACUGCGUCGUCGCGUUGAUUCUUGACUAGAUGAAAAGCUUAAUCACACCGCAUAAGUAAAUCUCCACGCAAAUUAAUUGAUUCACAAGCCAUCACAUUUGUCACUAGAUAAUCAAGAAGUAAACGAUGUUUCUCCAGUCGGGACUUUUGUCGAACAAGAGUCACGCAUGAAAAGGAAAAGAAAGAAAACUAAACUGUCUCUAAACAAUGACUAAUGCUCCCUCCGUCGUUCUUGCCGCAUUGAGAGAAAAGGUACAAAAAGAAAGCUCUGCCGAAUUCCUGGUAUUUCGUUUCCUCUUGGUAGGAGGACUCCUAGUCAGCAACUCUUCAUCAACAAAAGGAAAAGGGAGUCGUUGCUUAGUACCCUGUGGGCCAGAUUCGUGAAGCUUUUUGAAGUCUCCCACGUGUGGAGCAAUUUUCUCCAACAGGUCCCCCUUUUUAGCACUUUUCAGUUCCACUUCCUGUAGAUGGUCCAAAUACCAAAUAUAAGUAUAUAUUAACAAUUUAAAACAAUAUUUGGUAAGGACAAAAGGGAAAAUUAACAAUAAAAUUACUAACAAUUAACACCCUAUCAAUUCCCCCCAUACCUAAAUCAUGUUUGCCUUCAAGUAUGAGAACAACUAAACCCAACAAUGGUCAACUCUCACGUCAUCUAUUUUCAAGCUGUGUUUAUACCAAAAUCAAGGUUCAGUGGCCAAGUGUCAAGACACAAUCCUCUCGGUUAGCUCCUGAAAUCACAGACUCGUCUAAUUCAUGGCUAACUCAUCUAGAAAAUCAAAAUAUUAAACUAGCAAUAGUCAGGAAUUGGUCCAACUGGCGACCAAAAUCUCAACAUUGAAGAACAAGGAUCGGCAGGCCAACAUGAUCAUAAGCUUACAUAUUUUUCACAUCUGUUCUUUUUCUUUCUUCCUUUUUUUUCUUUUUCUUUUUUUUUCUUUGUUUUUCUUCUUUUUUGAACGAAUAAAUGCUUAGUCCCAAGCCAUUCAAGUCUUUUGACAUGAAUUCUAACAUUUUUAGAUGAAAGAGUUCAGUUACUCAACUUUUCACCGCUUCAAGACCACCUACUCAUAGAUAUCGCCACUGUUUUGACGCGAGAGUCGACACUUGUGGUGACGACUCCCGGUUACUGGGUGACGACACUAGCGAAGUAUAGCCAUAUGUUAUUCACAACAAAACACCAAAAUAUCAGACAAUUAAAGAACAUGGCCCACGUCAUCUCCUAAACAUGGAGAACUAAGGUCAACAGGGGACCAAUCCAUACAACAGUUGCCAGCAAAAUAUUUAUAUUGCCUAAACAAGUUAACCACAAUUCGCACAAAGUUAUUAAACUCACAGUAUUCACCAAGACAAUAUGCUCUUACUUGCCACCGAAGCUAAAUUUAUAGAAUAAAACACAUCUAGCAAUAGAAGAGUGAGUUGCCAAUCAAUUGUUGAUCACCAAGAUAAGCAGUACCAAAAACAAAAAAUAAAGAGACACCAGUUGAACCCCCCCACAACCGAAUGGUACAUUGCCCUCAAUGUAACAAAUAAACAGCAAAAACAAGAAGAAAGGCAACGAAACUUCCCUGAAGUCGGGGUCACAGCGGUGGGUGAGGCGGAAAUGGUGCUUGAUGAAGCGGCAGCGAGUGCAAGAGGCGGUGGCGGCGCUUGGCAGUCGUGCGCGAGGAGGUGGCAAAGGGAAAAAGCAGCGGCGAUAAAGGAGGGUUUCGGCCGAAAUAGAAAAGGGAGAAGGAGAAGCAGGGCAAAAGAGGAAGAAAAGGGAAAGAAAGAAAGAAAAGAAAAAAAGAAAGAAAAAAAGAAAAAUAGUUUUUUGGGGUUUUCUCUCUUUUUUUUUUAAGUCAAAAUUUAAAAUUUGGUAUUUGAAAAUCGAAAUUCUGAGUUGAACGGGAAAUAUUUUUAAUUUUCAAUUUUUUAAUUUUUAAUUUUAAUUUUUUAAUUUUAAUUUUUUUUUAGGAUCUUGGGUCGUCAAAUAUGACGUGGGCACGCCAAAAUUAUAAAACGUCCAUUGACCUUGGGAGUCACUUUUUGCAACUUAACGCGUGCCCUCCUCGCGUAGGCACGCCAAGAUUCCAUUUCCUGCUGACGUCGCGAGAUGUUGAGAUUUUACCAACAUGGCGUGGGCACGCCAAGAUUGAUAAACGUCCACUGACCUUGGGAGUCACUUUUUGCGUGCCCUCCUCGCGUGGGCACGCCAAGAUUCCCUGUCCUGGUCACAGUGGGAAAAAAUAUGAAAAUUGACUAGUAGCCAAAUGAGAAACGACAAAUCGAAAGAAUUAAACAACAAAACAAAAAAAAAUAACAAAACAAAUAUUUGGAUUGCCUCCCAAAAAGCGCCUUUCUUUAACGCCUUUGGCUAGACGUUAAACAUCACUUCAAUUUGGAUGUAAUUCAAUUUUCGUUGUAAUUUGUGGCCUUCCUCCGGGAUCCAAAUAGCCAUUGAGUGUAACUUUUUUCCUUAAUUUUUUACUCAUUUUCACCUCAUGAAUUGCUUUCAUCCCAUGAUACUUGUUCGCAGCAACUUUAAAUUUACCCCUACAAGUAAAUUCAGAAAAUUCUUGCACAGAGGGAUUAGUAGCAUGCAUAGCGAACACAGAGUGAGAGUUUAUAGGAUGUUUCAUUGUAUCAAAAAUAUUAAAAUGGACUAUUUCUCCAUCAAAUUUCAUUGUAAGAGUACCCUUACUAACAUCAAUCUUAGUUUCGGCAGUACUCAAGAAUGACCUUCCUAAUAUAAUGGGUGAUGGAUUUGGGGCACUUUCAUCAUCCAUGUAAAGCAUAUAAAAAUCAGCAAGAAAAAUUAAUCCAUCUACUUGCACUAAAACAUCCUCAACUACCCCAUCCGGGUAAGCAAAUGUACGAUCAGCCAAUUGAAUUAUUAUCCCUAUUUCUUUCAAAGGUCCUAAAUUUAGAGAAUCAUAGAUUGAUUUAGGCAUUACAUUAAUAGAAGCUCCUAAAUCUAGCAUGGCAUUUUUUAUAUUAGAAUGUCCAAUCUUACAGGGGAUAGUAAACAUACCUGGAUCCCCAUAUUUAGGUGGUAGUUUCCUUUGUAGAAACGCUGAAACGUUCUCACCUACCACAAUAUGCUCAUCCCCCCUCAUCUUCUUCUUGUUGAUACACAAGUUUUUCAAGCAUUUAGCAUAUUUUGGCACUUGCUUGAUCGCGUUCAACAAAGGGAUAUUGAUUGCCACCUUUUGAAACACUUCUAGAAUCUCAUUUUCCUUAUCUUGCUUCUUCGAUUUCUCCAACCUGCUAGGAAAAAGCGGUGGGUUAGUUUUAACUAUAAUGAAUGGGUCCAGGAGUACCUUUGGAUCCUUGUUGCUUCUGCCCUGCUCUUCAAACUCUUUCUCAAUUCGUUCCUCAUCCUUGUCCUUAGGAAUCACGAGCUCGGGUCCUUGGAUUUGCUUUCCACUCCUCAAGGUCAUUGCGCUCACAUUCUUCAAGUUCAGUUCAGGUUGAGACGGCAAUUUUCCAUAAGUUUGAGAUUCCAGGUAGUUGAUUGCUAUUGCCAUCUGACUCAUCUGACUCAUCUGACUCUACAUUACUUGCACCUGUCCCAGUUGAUUCCUCAUAUUUUAUAGGUCAGAAUCCGUCUUUUACUGAUUAGCAAUUAAUUGCUUCAUCAUCUCUUCCAUAGACGGGCUUGAGUUUGAAGGGGGUGGUGGCAGGCGAGAUUGAUACUGUUGUUAGUACCCUUGUUAUCUAUUUGGUGCAAAAUUCGACUGCCUAUUUCCUCCAUAACUAAAGUUAGGAUGAUCUCUCCAACCCGAAUUGUACGUAUUGGAGUAUGGGUCGUAUGGCUGUCUUGGCGCGGGCGCGUGACCAGCCAUGUUCACUUGUUCCUCACUUUCUUCCUGAACCAAUGGACACAUCUCUGUAGAGUGACCCAAGGUAGCGCAUAUCCCACAUACCUUGGCUUGUGAGGCACUUUCCACAGCUAGUUAUCGCACGAAAGACGUCAAUUCAGAGAUUUGUUGUUGGAUGGAGGAUGUUUCUACCUCAUUCAUCGUACGCGUCGGGGUGUCCUCUCUUGAACUGAACUGCUGUGAAUUCUCAGCCAUCCCUUCAAUCAACUCCUAUGCUUCUCGAGGAGUCUUGUUCACCAAUGCUCCUCCACUCGCAGCAUCGAUUAUACUUCUGUUCCUGAAGAGUAAUCCCUCAGAGAAAUAUUGGAUGAGCAGUUGCUCACUUAUCUGAUGCUGAGGGCAUUUGAUGCACAACUUUUUAAACCUCUCCCAGUACUCAUAGAGGGACUCGUCUGGGUGUUGUUUGAUACCGCAUAUCUCCUUCCUCAGACUUGCAGCUCGAGACGCAGGAAAAUAUUUGUCCAAGAAUUUUUUCUUCAAUUGGUCCCACGUGGUAAUAUUACCUGGUGGUAGGUAGUACAACCAGUCUUUUGCAGAGUCCUUCAAGGAGAAGGGGAAGACCCUCAUUUUUAUCUGCUCUUCUGUGAUUCCCGGGGGUUUCAUACUGUUACAAACGACGUCGAAUUCUUGCAAGUGCUUAUAGGGCUCCUCUCCUGGUAGACCAUGGAAAGAUGGCAAGAGGUGAAUUAGAUCAGAUUUUAGUUCAAAGGGAGUGUUAUCAUUCAAACUUGGGAAAGUAAUGCAUAAAGGUUGCUGAUUUAAAUUAGGAGCAGCGAACUCCCUUAAUGUUCGUGCAUUAGUCAUAGUGACUUUCUCUUGAUCCGAGUCACUCGAAGUGUCACCAAACGAAUCUGUUGGUUCAACUUCUAGCUCAGGUCUCUGAAAUGUAUCACUGAAGUGCUCUUCUCUGAGUUGUCUGGUCUCUUUCCUUGUUCUACGCACAGUCUUCUCUACCUCGGGGUCGAAAAUUAAUUCACCUGUACAAGAAGAACGAGGCAUACACUUGAAAAGAAUUAAAAAUUAGAAAAAAAUGAACUUAAAAAGAAGCAAAUAACUGACGCCAAUCCCCAGUAACGGCACCAAAAAUUGACAGGUGCCAAACCUGUUCAAUAAUAAAAUAAAUAAACUAACUACCAUUAACGCAGUCAAUAAUCAAUUCUAGAUACUGGAGCAGGGACUCUAGGUGUGCAAUGGAUUACUUGAUUCCUGUUCCCGAAGAGUUUGCUUAAUCCGAUAUACCAGAAUUAAUUAGUUGACAAAAUUUAUUAACUAAUAGACAGUGGCAAGCAGGGUCGUCUCCUCAGGGACUGAGGAUAUUUGUCUCUUUGAAGUUCCAAUUGGUAAAAAGGGGGGUUUUAUCGGAAUAAAACUAAAAAUAUUUAAGCAAUUCAACUAAAAACAAAUAAUUAACUAGCACGAAUGUAGAAAGGAAUUAAAUCAAGAAUAGAUAAAUUCUAACCAAGAAUACAACUAUUCAGACACAGUCCAUUCAUCCAAUCAUUGAUGCAAGGGAUGUUCACUUAAUUUAUUAAUAGGUUAGUUAUAGUCGCCAACGAGAGUUCUGACGACCAAUUUUUCCUUAAUUUAUUGAUAAUCAAGGUACGACCAUUGAUUACUGCUAACCAGAAAAUACUCCUAGGUACGACCAUAGAAAUUAAUUCUCCAAUUGCAUUAAGAACUAGAAAAACCUAAUCCCAAUCAAUAACACGCUACGAGGGUUAUUCAAAUCAGAUUGCGCGUCCCCUUAGUGUGUAAAAAUGCUAGUUGCCACUGAUAUUAAUCGAUUAAAUAAUUACGGAUUUAAUUGACUAAUUUGGCAGGCGAUUAAUAAGUCGCAUUGAACAUCGGGCCCUUGACAUUCAAUUAACUAAAUAAUCCCAUAGAAAUUCAAACAGACAACGUGCAAAUAUUAACAAAUUAAGGAACACAUGAAAAUUAAUUCGAUCUCACAGAUAUUCGAGACUGCGUCGUCGCGUUGAUCCUUAACUAGAUGAAAAGCUUAAUCACGCCGCAUAAGUAAAUCUCCACGCAAAUUAAUUGAUUCACAAGGCAUCACGUUUGUCACUAGAUAAUCAAGAAGUAAACGAUGUUUCUCCAAUCGGGACUUUUGUCGAAAAAGAGUCACGCAUGAAAAGGAAAGAAAGAAAACUAAACUGUCUCUAAACAAUGACUAAUGCUCCCUCCGUCGUUCCUGCCGCAUUGAGAGAAAAGGUACAAAAAGAAAGCUCUGCCGAAUUCCUGGUAUUUCGUUUCCUCUUGGUAGGAGGACUCCUAGUCAGCAACUCUUCAUCAACAAAAGGAAAAGGGAGUCCGUUGCUUAGUACCCUGUGAGCCAGAUUCGUGAAGCUUUUUGAAGUCUCCCACGUGUGGAGCAAUUUUCUCCAACAGGUCCCCCUUUUUAGCAUUUUUCAAUUCCACUUCCUGUAGAUGGUCAAAAUAUCAAAUAUAAGUAUAUAUUAACAAUUUAAAACAAUAUUUGGUAAGGACAAAAGGAAAAAUUAAUAAUAAAAUUACUAACAAUUAACACCCUAUCAACGCUUCGUCUUCCCGCUCUGGUGGCCUAUAAAUAGGCUCCACUAGAUGUCACUUUCACGCUUUCUUCCUCAUUUUCUCAGCUCCCCAUCUUUUACUCAGCUCGCUCAUCUCCUCCUCCUACGAGAGUUAGUUCGGGCGUCCUGUCAAGAGUUCAGUCGUGCACUGCUGUCCGUGCGUCUCCCCUAAGCACCACUGAGCGCUCGAGCUCUUUUCCCCUACUCUUACUAGUAAGUUCCUUUUCUCCCUCCUUUUAUAUCUUCUUCCUCUGAGCAUUCUGACAUAACUAGUUCGGCCCCUAGGCGUAGAGUAGCCCGACCUGUACCCAUAAAGGUCAUCUCUUCCUCUCCUUCUCCUUCCAGUUCUUCACCUUCCAGCUCGUUAGAGUCAGAAUAUAUUCCUUCCCCUGCUCUUUCUCCUGUUCGAGCAAUGGCUCAACCCGAACAGCCUAUUCAGCCGAACAACCUAUUCAGCUUGCAGCUAGAACUGCUGCCAAGCAGUUCCACUUGAGGCAACUCCUCUACGAGCUAGGGCAGGGCCCUCCAGGGGGCCCGAUAUUGACUUCGGUGAAGUGGAUCUUAUCCCUCCCAUCCUGGAUCAGGGGGAUGUGGACGAAUAACCCAGCUCAUCCCUCCCAAAGGGGACUAGUGUUGUGGGGCCAAUCCGCAGGAUCGGGAUCGGGACGAUAAGGUUGUCAUGUAAUUGAUGCGACUGCCGAGAGCGCGUUCCGAGCUGAGCUGCGCUGGGCUGAAUGAACUGAGGAUGACCGAACUGGUACUAGCGGGGUGAGCGAGCUGACCUGCAAGAAAGACCAACGGCGGGACUGGUUCCCUGGUGUAGCUCCGACGGUCAAGUCAGUAAGAGUUUAAGAGUAGGGUAACAGCGUAGAUACUGUUGAUGGCGUACCUUGUUUUGUCUUGUGGUAGUGUAUUUAUAAGAUCCCGGGUAGUAGUUUCCCUAUAGGAUUAGGAGUCCGGCUAGAAAGGGAGUCUUUCUAGGGUUUUGUCUGCUAACUCCGAAAGGGUCGUGGGCUGCGGUCCACCAGGCCCAUCCAGUUGGGAGGCGGUGGCCAUGCGCGAACUGUCCUCCCUCCUGCCCGAGUUGUCUAGCCAAAUUGCCAGGUCACAAUGUUCGAACUGACACAUGGCUCCUGCGGAUUGGCCCCACUACAGCUUUCUUAAACUUUUUUCUCAUUUCUUUCCAAUUUGGAAGGAAAAAUUUUGGCUACUAUUCAUGCUCUUAAAUUCUUCCACUUCCUUUCUUUUCUUUCCUACUAAAAACUAACAAAUGAAGGAAAAUUUAACUUUUUCUUCUUUCCAUUUCUUUUCUGUCCAAAUCCUCCACUCCCAAACGAGCCCUUAGAUUUAUAUAAUAAAUAUACAGUGUGCUUUUGAUUUAAAAAGUGAAAUCCUUUUUUUUCUAUUAGUGUUUAAUUUGAAAUAAAUCUUAAAUUUUUGUUAGAGAUAAUCAAUAUAAAGUAUUUUUUUGGAGUAAAUGUAGAAUAAGUGAGGAAUAUAUAAAACUUCAAAAGAUAACCUAUAUAAAGAAGGGAAUUUUCUUAAAUUUGACUUACAAAUGAAAGAGAGAAUUUUAUAAAAUUCAGGGGUGCAAACAUGGUAUAAACUUAAAAAUUUUGAAAAAUUUGAAGGCCGUUGUACAAUUUUAUCAAAAUUGAGGGGGCCGGGGAGGGAGGGCAAUUGUCUACUCCUCAAUCCUAUGUGGCUGGAAUACUUAUCAAUGGAAUAGAUAGUAUAAUAAGAUUUUAACAGCAAAAAUUGUAGAAAAAGGGAUUCUUUGCCGAACUAUUCGACCCAUAAUCUGAAGCAUGUAGUGUUUUGGAGCAAGGGGGUAAGGUGGGAUCAACUCCAUGGCUCAGAGAGGCAAAGUGCCAUUCAUCGCCUAAUAGAUAAAUCCUUCUCUCAGUUAAAAGCCACACUGGUUUGCAACUAUCAAUUUGAAAAAAGAAAGCUAAUUUAAGAGGCAAUAUUUUAAGUUGUUUAAGGAAUAAAAAUGUUGAAAAAGCAUGAACUCAACUUUGGCCUACAAUAGGUUUUUUUUCUGUCUCAACAAUUCUUUUCUUAAUAUUCUUUUUAACUUUAGUGCUGUCAAUUUACUUCAUGGCCCAAAGGCAAAAAAACAAAGACUAGUGAUUGACACAAGAACAAUCUUUAAUGCAAAUUUCAAACUCAUUAAGAAAUGAGAGUGUGAAAUAAACAUUCAACGCGAAGCAUCUAAGCUGGAUCGCAGGCUGGAUGACAUUGAAAUUGUGGUGAAGAUAAGUUUUCAAAGUCUCUUUCAUUUCAGCUUACCUGUUCAUUGAUAGUUUCAUGCUUUAUGAUAAAAUUUUUUUCUUGAGCACUUUAUGAAAAGAAUAUUUAACUCAGUUUGCUCACUAACUAAUGAUUACACAAGCACUCAACUUCCGCACAUUUGCACGGGCUUAAUCUUGUAUUCUUUCUUUUUUUUUUAAUAAAAAUAUUAUUAUUUUAUUAAAUCUAUACUAGUGACAAAAAUUAUAUAAAUAAUAUACGGAUACAAACAGAUCUAAAUAGCAAGUGCUAAAUGUUACAGAUCUGAAAAAUUAAUAGAAUAUUAUACAGUGGAACUCACAAAAAUCAAAUGAUAAAACAUUUAUUGCUAAGAUUAUCUAUGCAUGCUUCCAAUUGUACGGUUUACUUCUUCCAGAUGGUAGGGUGAAAUCUGAGGGAUACAUUUAAAAAUUUUCAAAUCUGGCAAUCAACUUCGAAAAAACAAAAAAGAUCUAACACAAGAAAUAGAAAAACUACAAAAAGUCUCACCAGGAAUCCCACAAAAUCACGAUCGCCAUCUUUACAGCAGCCAUCGUCAACCAUUUGAUCUUCAAUUUUACCGUCUUUGGAACAAAAUUUUUCAUUAGAUUUCAUCAUAUAGCCCAAUCUUGCAGUUCAUCGUCACUGUGCCAGCACUGAAGUAAGCCCUCUUUUCCAAAUUUUCUUUUUUUGUAACUUGAAAUUUGUGUGAAUUAAUAUGCGCAACCUAUGGAUGUUUGGAUCUUUCAUAUUAUUAGUCUCCUCGAAUUUGUUCCUUUGUUCAUUCGUAUGCAAUUUUUUAAUCACAUAUUCUGUUUACCUGAGGAAGUCUGAAUUGUGAUGAAUUUUGUAUUGAUUCAAUAUCAAAUUUGAUUAAAGGGAAAAAGAAACUGCCCUACGAUCAUAGCAUGUAAGCAUGAUGGAAAAAUGCCUAAACUAAAUACAUUGUUGUUCACUGUUUUUUUUUCUUUGGUGUAAUUGGAUAUUGAAACGGUUGAAGAAAGGGAAAGGAAAAUUUAGGAUUGAAUUGGGGUGUUGGCACUUGCAAUUGAUCUGCAGGUGUUUUUUGUUUUCUUACAGUUGAUCAUGACGGAUUAUUAUGGACGAGUUCCAUGGGAAUUAUCAUCAGUUACAAAAAGAAAAUAAACGGGAAGUGCUUCAUAGAAUGGUAUCCUGAGAUAGUGAUUGUGAAAUCAGUAGCCAUCGCAAGUGGAUUGUCAAAAUUAAAGAUGUAAAGACAUAUAAGACUGCAGCUGGAUUGUGAUGGCUAAUCUUAUCCUAUGUAGUGAAACUUCUUGAUCUAUGAAACUCAUGUACAACAUGAGAUAUAUGUACACCAGUUAAUUUAUUUGGGUCUUUACAAGUAAAUUUUCACUUCAGAUUUAUUGUAGUGUUAUUUGAAACCAUGAAAACAGCAGAGAGAAGUUGAUCAUGAAAAAAACUACUAUAGCUGACAAGAUUGGCGUUAUUUGGAUUGUCGGUUUUCACUUAAAAAUUUUGAAGUAUUUUCUCAAUAUAUUUUUCAAUCACUUUUUUAACUCACAUACAUCACAUUAUUAUAAUAUAUAUAUAUAUAUAUAUAUAUAUAUAUUUAACGAAACUCUAUAAACUUACAAUUCAAACUGUAACUUUUCAUUGUAGUGCGUCCUUUAAAGUGACUUUCAUUUUAGUCCGUCCAUUUUAAGUGAUUUUAGUGCGUCCACUUCAAUUCAUGCACAGGAAGGACCGGUCCCAGAAUUCUGUAGCAGGACAAUGAUUUAGCGUGGCCUGGAAAAUUCUAUGGAAACAAGGCAAGAAUGUCACCUUUGGGGUGUCCAAUAAUGUUAGUGUCAAUCAACCUCACUAUUAAAAGAAGAAAAGAUUGUUGAUAAAUCCAUACAUCAAAUCCGUAUUCAAUAUCUUUACUCGAAAUUGUGCUCCCCCAAGGAAGUACAAGUAAACUUUUACCCAUCAAAUUUGCAUAAACAAUUUUGUGGCCUAGAGAAAAGUUCAACCUAGGAUGUUCAAGUAUAAGAUAAACAUGAAUGAAGGGAGAAGGUUGAUUGAGGCCCUAUUCAUCCUCAAAUUUGAUUACAUAUUCCAAUCUAUUGCCACAAAAAAAAAAAAUCAUGCUCAGCAAAAAUUAUUUUAAAAUAUAUGAAUAUAUGUGAAAGAGGAAGAGAAUAAAUACACAAUAUAACUUAAUAGUUUUAUUAACUAAACUCAACAAUAAUGCUCACAAAUAACAAGUUCUGAGUACUUCUAAUCUAAUUGGGUGUGUGUGUUUCUGUCUAUAAGAGAGAGGAGUAUCUCUCUCCCAACAUGAUAAAUGUUUAUAACUUGCUGAACUUUAAUAACCGGGACAUUAGGAAAUAUUUCUUUCCCGCAUCAACUUCGAAAUUCUUCUACUUACUAAACCAACAAAUAAAAAAACUUGCCACAUAAGUAAUUUAAUUUAAUAAUUAGGCUUGGUUUAAUUAUCUACACAACCAUUUGUCAGAUUUCUUGGGCAAUUACGUAGUCAACCCAACCUUGCUAACUGUCAGCGUAGAAGGACCUUAGAAAUUAAAUAACAGCUUAUCAUGCACUGCAUAAAAUACGUUUAUCUGUAGAGCUCGAGCUCGUAAUCAAUUUGUGAGUCACACUGAUCAAUUUGUGGGUCUUAGAGGUUUGAAGUUAAGAGGUAAUUCCGGCGAGAUUUGGAGUUGGGAAUUUUUUUUAUUUGUUUUCUUGCCUCCCAAGAUCUUAUUCUCCUUUAUUCCUUUGUUUGUUAUUACUUCUUUUUUUUUUUAAUGAGUUUUAAGAAGUUAUGGUGAUAGUGGUGGUUAAGAGGUUGAUGAUGAUAGUGGUGAUGGGAUGAUCAAGAGGUUGGUGUUGAUAGUGUGAUGUUCGGCUAAUGAAGACUGUGAGAUUUGGUAUGGAUUAUUACUUGAUUUCUAUUUCUUUUGAUGAAUUUUUAGAUAUUAAUUUGUGCUUUUUGAAGGGAUUUUGUCUGAGGAAUAUUUGUAGGGUUUAUGAAUUUGACUUUAUUCAGAAGAUGAAAAUAAAGGAAGGGUUAUUUUUGGAGGUUUGGUAAAUUUGAGGGUAAACAUGUAUAAUCUCUCUCUCUUUAUCAGAUUUAACUUAGUUUGUAAAUUGUGCAAAAAAUUAGAAGUUGAAGUAAUGGACUGCUAAAUUUAAAGUUUGGGAUGCAAGUUCCAAUUGCGAAAUUGUUGAGGGGUGCAAAUUACAAUUAACACUAUUUCUAUUUUAUUUUAUAUAUACAACUUGUUAAAGGACAACUAAGGAGGCAAUGGGGCGGGGUUGGGGUGGGGGACCCCAUCUCCGUCCGCUGCCCUACUGCCUACAAAUUCCCCCCCCCCGCGCCCAUCCCCAUCCCCCGCUUCUCCGGUGGCCUAAUAAAAAUUUAUUAUAUAAUUUUAUUAUAGUUAAAUUUUAGCAAAUAAUCAAGUACUAAAAUAUCAAUACAUCACCAAAUUAUUAUUCAUUGUAAUUUCACAAUUGAAACUUAUAAAAACAAUCAAACAAAAGUUAUUUGAAUACAAUCCAAUAGGAUGAAAUAAAUACAACUAAAGUAGUCAAGUUUCACUUUGGCACAAAUACAAUCACUAAUUCAUUAUUGUGCUUGUGCUUUUUUUGAGAAAAAAUGUUAUUGUAUUAAGUGUAAUUAGGGAUGUAGUAUAAAUGUAUUAGUAAAUUUAGUAUAACUGGUGGCUGUCAAACUACAAAAAUAAAAUUUAUAUUAGACCUACUACCAAAACUAAACAAGUAUAGUGGUAAGUAGGGUCGUCUCCUCAGGGAACCGGUAGAUUUAUCGCACACAGGUAAUUGGGGAAUUUUUGAAGAGAGAGAGAUAAGUGAAACAAAUUAAAGACAUAAGAUUACUAAAUAAACAAUCGCAAUAAAUGCAAUAACUCAAGAAUGAAAUAAACAAUUAAUUGACACAACCUAGUCAAGGAGAUAAUCUCGGCACCGGUUCACACAAUGAUUAUAGAUACCAGGAUAAUUCACACGUUCGCGAAUAAAUUGGUUCUAUCAAUUUAGCAACCGCCAAACUCCCAAUCUCUCCUUAAUUAUAUGGUAGUCCAAAGACGCUCUUAAACUACCCUAUUGUAAAUUAGAUAACCCCAGAGACACUCGAAGGAUUUAAUCUAAUCACAACUUUAGGAAUUAGAGAACCCAAUUCUAGUUAACAAACACACAUGCGGGUUCAUUUAAACUAGAUUAAUUAUUCCCACGACCCAGAUUAGAUUAGACUGCUUGCGAGGCAAUGAAAUUGUGCCAUUCGCCACUAAUUUAAAACAUUCAAGUGAUACGCACGCCUGUCCUAAUUGGCAAUAUAUUAUUUAGACAAUUGAACAACUGGCCAUAUUGAUCCAAUCAAUCCAAACAAUAACAGGCAAUUCAAACAAAGAAUAAUUAAAUACUCACAAACGCAGAAUUUAGAAUAAACAAAAUGAUCUCACAAUUAUUCAUGCUCCGGGCCUUGAUACUCCUCAACUAGAUAAAGAAAUUAGCCUUGCCGCAUAACGACGAAGCAAUUCAAAGUUUUCAUAGUAAUUUCGUUCAUGAAGAAAUCAAAAGUACGUCGGCUAGUUCUAACAAAGAUAAAAGCAAACGAGAAAAAGGUCCAAGUCAGAAGAUGAGAUCCCUAAUCUAUUGCAAUCUUCCUAUUUGUAGUGUCGCCGCCGCUUCCCCUUGCUUUUCGAAUUAGAAUUUGUUUCUCAAAAGGAUUUGCGUCCUUAUUUUCCUCCUUGAAUUGUUGCCAAAAGUCUUCUUUGAAAAGGCUUCCUAAUCCCACGCAGGUUCAAAAGGUGUCUCCAAAGAAUAGCGAAAGCUCCAGGGAUAACUGACGGUGGCUCCGUCUUUUUCACGCAGCUCUGCGUUAUCUGGCGUGGGCACCCAGAGAAUGCCUAGCCUUCUGGAAUUUGCCCUCCUCUUGUCACUUUUAACACACUCUCUCUGCAAAUAACACAAAUACCAAAUAUGGGCAGAAAUCCAGUGUCUUACACAUUAAGACCAAAUAACAGCGAAUAAAACACACAAUUAUCUCCCUAUCAAUAACCAAUUAAUAAUUUGUAUUAGUACAUAUAUAUAAUUAUUAGUAUAAUUGAUAAUAUCAAUUAUAUUACAUAUACUAAUAUACAUUAUAUAAUACAUAUAACUAAUAAUAUCAUUAUCAUAAGUUUGUAACUAAUUAAAUUAUAUAUUAUAUAUAUAAUUAUAUACAUAGAUAUAUUAUAUAUUUAUUUUUUUAAAGCGGGUGGCGGGGAGGAGAUAGGGCGGGGGUACACUCCCCUGUCUCCCACCCCAUUUCUAAGCCCCAGGGGUGGGGGGGGGGAAUUCCCCUCGGCCCCGUACCACCUCCCACCCCAUUAUCCCCCGCGGGACGGGUACCGGCGGCCACCCGCCCCAUUGCCAUCCUUAGGGACAACUGUCGUAUUAAGAGAAAUAUUUUAAAGGGAUAAUUUCAUAAACCUCCCCUGAGGUUUUUGAUAAUUUUAUGUGGCUCCCUUAAAGUUUCAAAAAUUACAUCUACCUCCCUUACCCAUUUAAAAUGACAAUACUAAUCUUAAUAUUUUAAUAAAACUCUCUUACUUCCAUGUUUAUAAAAAGGAUGGAUUUUACAAUUUUUUUUCUUUUUUCCUUCUUAUUCAUUUCUCUUAUAUUUCAUUAGAAGUAUAAAAGAACUAUCAAUGUUGUCGCUAAUAUCUAUCCAAAUCAAACUUUAAACUAGUAAUUUUUUUGAUGACUUUUAAUAUCAUCCAAUUUUUUGUAGCUCUUUUUUUUGUAUCAAAAUCAAGAAUAAAUCAACAAUAAUUAAAACACAAAUGGCCCAAAAUCACUACCAAACUAUGGUAGUUCUAUCACUAAACUAGUCCAUAAACUUUUAUUAAAAAAAUAGUCCAAAAAUUUCAAAAGCACAAGGUAACACUUUCUUGUCUAUCUUAAAAAGAAUCUAUAUUCCCAAUAAAGCACUAUAAAAAAUAGCUUAUCAUAGCAAAAGAUUUAUUGUUAUAGUUGAUUAUUAAAUAACAAAUAUUGACAUGAAAAACUUGGGACUCUUUUAUAUAUAUAUUAUAUAUAUAAUUGUGUCAAAUUACUUUACAAUUGUUUAAAAGAAUGAAUUGAACUUUAUAAUUAUCAUCAAACUUUGGCAAUCAACCUUUCCUUACUUUAUCGAUAAUCAGAGUAUGGUCACUAACUACUUCUCUGACUAAAAGAUAACCCAAGGUACAACCAUAGGAUUAAAUCUUUUAACAGCACCAAGAAUUAAAAAAACCUAAUUCUAAUCAACAAACAUGUUGCAAGAGUUCAUCUAAAUUAUAUCAUAUAUUUCCUGACAUAGACCCAAUUAUGCUAGUCAACACAAAUAUUAAAACAGACAAACAAUUACAAAUUUAAUUAUUUCAAUUGACAGUAGACUAUUGUGAAUAAUCAAAUAUUGGCCACUUAUUUAAUUACACACAAUAAUCAUCAUACACGUAAUACAGGAGAUAUACAAAUACCCACGAAUAGAUGAAACAGUAAACUUAAAUUAGAUAUCAUAAUUGUUUGUAGAACCAAGUUUUUGAUUAUCCUCUAAUUAGAAAGAAAAUUUAGCCACUUCUUAUGGAGAAAUGCAGCCAAGAAAAUUAGGUUUUUGUCUUGAGAGAAGAAAAAAGAUAAACCACCUAACUACGAUGACAAAGUGUAGAGAGAGUUGGGAAUUAGAUAUCGAUAUUCUCACCCUAACAAUCUAUAUGAUAAUCUCCUAAAAAUUAUUCCAAUAAAAGGAAUUAUCUUCCAUACUGGAAUAAUCUAUUUUCGUAGAUAAUGAUAUAAUAAUAUCCUUACUAACUAGUUGCAUCCAAAAAUAAAGUUUUCAAGGCUGCAGAGAAUCAAUCAAUUAUUCUCUUUAAUUGUUGAAAUUAAUCUCAGGUCCCACAACUUCUGAAUUUCCUAGGCUCUUUAAGGCGUGCCCAUACUUUUAUAGCAAAUAGACUUUUCAGCAACUCUUUUUAGUCCUCUUUCAUCCCAAAUUCUUAUGACAUCACUAAAACACAAAAUAUAAGUAGAAUCCACAAAAUAACACAAUAAUCUACUAAAAUGAAAGGAGAAUUGACACAAACUAUAUCUCAAUUAGGCACACUAUCAUUUAGUGACACAUGAUGAUGUAAGUAAUAUUACAUUAUUAUGAUGAUAUAUGUGCUCUUGAGUAUGCACCACAUCGUCCAUGAGUGGUUCCGAAAAUCAAGUUUUUAAGAAGGUUUUAAAACUGGAAAUCUUACCGGGUCAUAGGUUAUUAGUUCAAUCGUUAGGCUACAUGCUGUGUUUUCAGACUCGGACCGGAUCGGCCGGUCGGACCGGUUGGACCGGGAACCGGCCAGGCAUCCGGUCCGAGUUAGUUAAAAAACUCGGAUGUUAUAAAAUCGGUCAAACCCGGUCCGGUGAACCGGAAAUUUUGAUUAACCCCGGUUUUUUUUUCUUUUUCGGCCUUUUUUUAGUCAGAGUUUGACAAAUCGGACAAAAUUGAAAAUUGACAAGGUCACAAAACUUGCGUCGGCUACUCUGCUGCUUCUCUUCUCAUACAUUUUCUUCCUUUCUUGACUUUCUUCUUCAGAUCUCCACCGCAUCUCUUGAGAUUCAUCGAUCAUCCUUCAAUCUCUAGCCUCCACCGCCGCAACAGCCACCAGUUCCUUCAGAUUUCAAGACAAUCAAGUAAUUAGCAUGCGGGUGAACUGAAGCUUUGUUUGGUAAUUUUUACAAUCUGAAGGUUAUUAUUGCUGAUUCGUUAUGCUAAAGUUGAUAUGUGACUGGAAUUUUUUGAUUCAUUAUGCUGGACAUUUGGGAUUUGGAUAUUACGGGUGUGACUGAGAAGCUGGAGUGUUUAAUUAUAUUUGGGAUUUGGGAUUGGAAUAGUGGGGUCAGGGGAUCAGGGAAAACGGCUCUUACACGGAAGGUGUUUGAUAUUUUGCCUGUGAGGAGGAUGUUCUCACCGAGGAUUUGGGUUUCUUAUAUGAUACCCUUCAUGAUGAACCGGUGAGCGUAGACUUGAGAGUGAAGAUAUUGAGGAAAAUGCUAGAGGCAGUCUGGUUGUGAUGUCUCGGAAAUGAUGACUACCUAUGUUGACAUUCCCAAGCUCACUCAGAAGCUUUACCAACGGUUAAUGGGCAAGAAACUGAGUUCUCACUUCUGGUCUAUCUUCGCUUGGAUGUUCAAAGUUCCAUGCAGCCAUCAAUGUAAAUUUCUGUGAUAUUUGUCUCUAAGCAAUGAAAACUUAUUUUGUCUUUUGUCUUAAAAAAAAAAGAUUGAUAUUUAUCAAGCAUUUGAACAUGAACUUGCUACCUUAUUUGGAUUGCUAUUUUUUAAGGAUUAAACAUGUAUGGGAUUUCUAUUUUAUAAAUUUUGUGAGUUUGGAUGAAUUUGGUUAUAUUUUGUAAAUUUGAUUUGCAGGUAUAUAUAUAUAUAUAUAUAUAUAUAUAUAUAUAUAUAUAUAUAUAUGAGGUAUAUAUGAUGUCAUCCGGGUCGACCCCCUAUCGACCCCCGUCGAAUCCAUUGACCCCACGACCUGACCUCGACCGAGUCGAGUCCUGGUCCGAGUCUGAAAACAUAGGCUAAAUGUUACCAAGUCAUUGUUAAUCUGUGACAUCAUAUAUAUCAUAAAUAAUUAAUGUCAAAAAUCGUUCAAUACGUCCCUUAUAUUUUGCUAAAUGAUUUUUUUGGUCCUUCGCUUUUAAAAUGUUAAUUUUAUAUCUAUUACAAAUUCAAGUUAGCAAAAUUUGGUUCCAAUCUAAAUUUUUGACUACUUUUUAGCCUAAGAUCGCCAUGUGACCUAUAUGCAAUCAUUUUUUAUGUAAAAAAAAAAUGUCAAAUACCACUUUUUUAGUGAUAAAAAUAAAUAUGGAUUGGGUCAAAUUCCAUUUUUGUUUUAAAAAAAUGAAUAUGAUUUGGAUUAGAUCAUACUUUUUAAAGUAAAAAUGAAUAUGGAUCGAAUAAUUUAUUUAACUACAAAUGGGAUGUAACCACUGUUUAAUACUAACAACUGUUAAGUGGAUAGGAACACGAAUAGUAAGAAAUUUUGGAUUUUGUAAACAAUUUUGAGCAAAAUUAUAAUUUUUUAAAGGUGAAAUGAUAGAAACUUAAAUAUGAGGUAACAUUGAAAUCUAAAAGUAAGUAUGAGGGCUAAAUGGUAAAAUGUCAAAAAGUAUAGUGCGUUAAUCGUUUCCUAUAAUUAUAUAUGCUAAUGUGGGGCCACAUUUUUUUUUUUUAAAAAAGAAAAGCAAGACUCAAAACGGUUUAGUAAAAACACGUCGACGGUUCGUUGGUCCGACCAAACGAUCUAGUUGGUUUUUACUAUCUAGACCGAUUUUUUGAUCCGUCUUAGUUUGAGACUUGGUUUAGUUCAGAAAGCUACUCGAUCAAUAGUUCAAUCAGUUCGCUCAAACAGUCAAAACUGAGUUUUAUAAUAUUAGUUUUUAUUUAAAUAUUUUCAAUACCCAUUUAUAAGAUUAUGGCAUUUGUAAGUUCUCCAAGAACCAAAAAUAAAAAGAUAUUUGUGCUAUAGUUGAAAUGAUGAGUGAAGAAAUUUACUGAUGCUGUCAAUAAUGUAUCGACGGGAUACUUAAGCAACGAAUAAUACUUUUCUUUGGGUAAACUAUCAAGUAUUAUUGAUGAAGCACAUAUUACACGAACCUCCAGGGGGAUGGCCACUAUUUGGCCCGUCUUCAAUUCGCCACACAAGUAGCUGGACUCAUCUAUAAAAGGGUCAAUCUUUGGGCAACCAAAUGCACGCCAAACCCAAAAAUACACACGAAAGCAAGCCUGCAAAAACAACAGAGAGGAAAAAAUGGCUCCCUGUUUUAGAGCACUAGUCAUAGCAAUAACAUCGCUGUUGAUGAUAUCUUCAGUGAUCAGGUCUUCCGAUGCUGCUGGAAUUGCCACCUACUGGGCCAAAACACCGACGAAGGAAGCCUGGAAGACGCAUGCCGGAGAGGUACCUAUGACUACGUGAAUCUUGCCUUUCUGAUAAAUUAUGGCAAUGGCCAGACACCAGAAUUGAACUUAGCUGGGCAUUGUGAGCCAAGCGCUUGCUCCUCGCUUAGUUCUGAGAUAAAAGCUUGCCAGAAACGAGGCAUCCAAGUGCUUCUUUCUCUCGGUGGAGCUCCAAAC
rnacentral:lncRNA from 1 species